rnacentral:lncRNA from 1 species
UGGUGGAAAAAGAAAGGAAUAGAGGGAAAUGCAGUUGGGAUUGUAGGGACUGAAGGAAUGCUUUGUAGAGGGGGAAGUCCUCUUGGCAAUGUGGUAGGAAGUGGAGGAAACGCCCCAGGGUUUGGGAAAUUAUGGAAAUAUAGAAAUGGUGGAAAAGAGAAAGGAAUUGGGGGAAUUGUAAUUGGGAUUGUGUGGACUGAGGGAAUGCUUGGUAGAGGGGGCAGUCUUGUUCGCAAUGUGGUAGGAAGUGGAGGAAAUGCCCCAGGCCAUAGGAAUGAUGGCCGGGAUGGCGUUGGGAGAUUAAGGAAAGAUGGCAAACUUUGCGUUUGAGGCUGUUAUAGAAGGUGAGGAGCUGCUACCCCAACAUUGUUAGGAUCGAUCCAAUUAAGCAACAAGUAACAAAAAAUAGUGGAAUAAAUUGAGAAAUUGAACACACAAAUUUAACGUGGAAAAACCCCUCCAAAGAGGAUAAAAAACCACGGGUAAAGGUAAUUUUACUAUAAUGGCCAAAGAACGAAGAGUACAAAAGAUGGAGAUAAAAAACUAAACCCCGAAAAACCCGAAAAAAAGGAACCCUCAAAACAUAAAAACAAAAUUCUCUAAAUGUGUUAUGAGUUCUAAUCUCUAAUUGGUGUAUUUUCUAAGGUUGUAAAAGAACCUAUUUAUAGGCUAAAUUAGUAAGUCAAAUAAACUAUGCUAAUAAAUGCUAAAUAUAUUAUACUAAUAAAUACUAAAUCUUCUAGAAAGAAAAUAUAUUUUAUUUAACUUAACUUGCAAGCAAUCUCUUAGAAUUUGGGUCACACAACUCUAACAAUCUCCACAUUGACACAAAUUCUUACAACGCUAUCUUUGCCAAAGCCCGCCACGAGCCUAUCUUGAACUAUGUAGGGAAUUAACUGAGUCGAAUCUGUGCUAAGAUGUUGGAAGACUUCUAGCCUUCGACUUGUGCAGUUCCAAAUCAAAACUAGCCCUGGUCUAAUUUUUACGAACACAGUGCCCUAACUUUUCAAAAACUGCAUCCAAAAGAGAACCUCUCUCCAACGAAACGGUCAUACCUUUUUCCCUCCUAUGACCAAGUUGCCUCCGCUCCAAAAGAGUUGACUUCGACUCCGUAACGGACGAGGGACGUCUGAUUUUACCAGUCACUGUAGAACCUUCCAGAAUAUAAAGACUGCCAGUUUUUUUACCUUUUAACAAAACAAGAGCUCCACGAGGUACUUUAAUGUCACUCGACUCAAUGUUGAUUCUGUAUCCUUUCAAGUCUAAAAUAUUCAAGGAGAUGAAAUUCUUUCGUAAAUCAGGUACAUACCUGACAUUUGAGAGUGUCCUAAUCGUCCCAUCGUGUAUCCUAAUUUUAAUAGUACCAAUACCAAUUACCUUACUAGAUGAAUCGUUUCCCAUGCAAACAACUCCACCUUCAGCCGAACUAUAUGUGGAGAACUAUUCUCUAUUGGGACACAUGUGGAAAGAACAUCCCAAAUCUAGGAUCCACUCGAACGUGAGCUUGGAAUUAUUGAUCGUUGACACUAACAAGAAAUCAUCACCGCUUUCAUCAGCCAAAUUAGCACCAUCUACAUAUUCCUCGUUACUCUGAGUAGCUAUUUUAUUUCACAGUUUAUAACAAUCUGCUUUGACGUGACCUAACUUUUUUUACAAUAACGACACCUUUUGUCUCAUUUCUUUGAUGCUACCAAAACAGAAGCUUGCCUAUCUGCCUUACUAUCCAAACCAAACUCAUUGUCAAGUUUUUCUCUACUUAACAAAUGACCCUUCACAUCUUCGAACGAGAGUUUGUCUCUGCCAUAAAUCAGGGUCUCCCUGAAAGACUUGUAUGAAGGGGAUAAAGAGCACAAUAAUAGCAUAGCUUGAUUUUCAUCGUCGAUAUGAACCUUAACAAUCAUUAAAUCAUUUAAAAGAGUAAUAAAUUGACUGAUGUGAUCUCUAAGAAACUCACCUUUGUUCAUGCGAAACGUGAAUAGACGUUGUUCCAACACUAAACGGUUAGCCAAAGACUUAGUCGCAUAAAGAGUUUCUAACCUUUUCGAUAAGUAGAUGAGGUCUUCUCCAUCAAUACCUCUUAUAAUACCGUAUUCGUGAGGCACAACUGGAUUGUAUAUAAGGCCUUUUCAUCAAGCUCUUCCCAUACUAUUUGAUUUAGAUUCUCAGGUUUUUUCUCGGUAAGAACCUUUUUCAAUCCGGUUUGAACUAGAAUUACCAUAAUUCAAACUUGCCACAGAUUAAAAUUUGUCUCACCAUCAAACUUCUCAAUUUCAAACCUUGUUGCUAUCAUCUUUGAAUAGGCUGAUCUAUAAAAAUUACAGUAGCUUUGAUACCACUUGUUAGGAUCGACCCGAUUAAGCAACAACUAAUAAAAAAUAUAAAAAUAAAUUGAUAAAUUGAACACACAAAUUUAACGUGGAAAAACCCCUCCAAAGAGGAUAAAAAACCAAGGGCAAAGAUAUUUUACUAUAAUGGCAAAAGAACGAAGAGUACAAAAGAUGGAGAUAAAAAACUAAACCCCAAAAAACCUGAAAACAAAGAACCCUCAAAACGUAAACACAAAAUUCUCUAAAUGUGUUAUGAGUUCUAAUCUCUAAUGGGUGUAUUUGUAACACUGGGGUUUGUGCAAGUGUACACAGUCGUUAUCAAGUAAUAAGUAAGUAUCGAGUUAUCGUCUCCACAGGGAAUGUAUGUGUGUCGAGUCACUUAAUUUGUAAAAUUAUAUUAACAAUUUGAAAAACUAAAAACAAAAUAUAGUUGAGAAGUGGUAUAAAAUAGAUGUAAUGAUCCCUAAUGUAAAUUAUCCAAAUAUGCAGACUAUAUGAAUGAAAUAGAUUUUAGCAAAAUUUAACACAUGCAACAAUUAUAACAUAACUGAACUAGGACAAUUACUUUAAUUAAACUUAAUUUAUUAUCAUCACGCUUAAUAAUAUUCGAAAAAACAUUCCAUGGCAACUCGAUCUUUCAUGAGUUUGGAAACCAAAUUAGGUCCUUUUGGAAUCCUUUACUCAGUAAAUACGCAUUUUACUGAUUCCUAUUUACUAAGGGUUUCUUAGCAUUCGUGUGAGGUAACAGGGACGUGUUAGGUUUGAAACAAUUUAAUCACACAAAUCUAAAAACUAUGCAGAUAACAGAGCCUAGUUAGAGUUGUUAUGCAACCUACAAUUUAAUCGGGUUAGGAUCUAAAUUGAGCAUGCACAUUUCAAUUAUGCGUCCAUUAGCCGUCGCCUGGUUAGGAUCGCUCAGCUAAUUCAGGUGCAUUUCAAUCAUGUAUGAACGAAAUACAGACUUGAUUUUAAUUGAAAACAUGAUCGAUUGAGGCACAAACAUUAUAAGCAUGAAUCAAAUAAAUAUUAUUUAAUCAAAAUAAUCAUCCUAGCUUAAAUAAAAUUAAGCCAUCAUUGUUGUAAAGAAGAACAAAGAACACAUAGCAAACAUCUUUAUAUUAAAUUAAAGAAAAGAAAGAUUAAACCCAAUUUAGAGUGGCUAUCACCCAAGACUCUGACUGACGAGACUCCUUCUCUUCUUUGCGUUGCUCCUUUGCUGAUGGUUCUCCAAUGUGGCCAACCAAGGGCUUUUUAAGAGGCUAAUUUGCUAAAAUCCUUAUGCAAGGAUGAUGAUAGGCAUGAGAGCUAAGAGAGUUGAGAGAGAGGAUGAGAGAUGUGAGAGAUGAUGAGAUGAGGGAUGAGGGAUGAUGAGAAAUGAGCUCUUAUUUAUAGGUGAGGCAAGGGAGCUAGUUUGCUAAAAUUAGGAGUGUCCAUCCUUUGAAACCUCCUCCAAGAAUGGUUGGCCAUGAAUUGAGGAAAUGUGGCUGAUUUUUCCUUUAUUUUUGGUCAAUUUUAAUGCCACAACAACUCAGGACUAAGACUCGAUCUCCAACAAAUCUUCAGGUAAAUCUCUAAUUUCUUCAACUCUUCAAAGGCCUUGUAUAAUUAAACCGAAAAUUGGUUUAUAAUCAGCCAUGUGCAGCCAAAAAUUGGGUUGACUUGGUCCUCACUUUCUACGGUUUUGCAAUUAGAAGAAAACUCUCAGACCUAUCAAAAAUAACUACUUUAUUUAAUCAAUUUACUUAAUUAAUUAAACCCAAUUUUAUUAAUGAAAUAUUUACAAUGAAUUAUUAAAAUAUAACAUUAUAUUUUAUUAUUUAAUUUAAUCAUGCGUGGCCCACUUCAUAGCUUAAAAAUAUAAUAUGCUUAAAUUAAUAUAAAAUAAGUCAUUUUAUGCAUGAAAACUAUAUAAUAAAACAUAAAAUCACAUUUUAAUAAUUUCUAUGUCCUAAUUUCAUAUUUUCACAUAUUUCAUUAAUUUAUUAAACAAUUACUUGGUUUUAACAACAAUUUUAAGUAAAAAGGUGAUGAAUUAUAUAGGAAAAAUCCUAUAUAUUUUUCCAUUUAUACCUCCCAAACUCAAAUCAUUGCUCGUCCCGAGUAAUGUUCAUGCACAACACAAGGUCUUGCUAAGGCAAAUUUUGCUAAGAGUGUUAGUAGCAUCAAUCUUUGUCUCAUAAUCAUGCAUCAACAAAUUCAUGCUCAUAGAUCGUCUUUAUUAGCAAGUAACUCAUAUACAAACAUUUUGAAAAUUUUAUUCUAGGUUUCAAGAUAUGGCAACAUGAAUAAUAGUUUGCAUGUAUGUCAUAGCCAUAGAUAAUAUUCUUCAUUCAACACAAUUUAUCAUGAAUCAAGCAAACAAUCAUAAGGCUUAUUUAUGAUCUUCAUAUGUUGAACUUAAUACUUCCUCUCCACUAAUGUAGGUGACAUAAUCAUCAAAUCAAUUGGUCUUUUAUAAGGUUCUAAUGGGGCUUGGUUUAAAGGUAGGGAUUUUAAGAGAUGAGACAUUUCGGUUUCAAAAAUCUUAACCUUUAACUUGUCUUGGAUUUCUUGAAAUUCAACCUUUUUCUUCAAGUGAACCUUUGGAACACCCCCAAACUUAUUUUGAACUCAAGCUCGUACAUUUUCCUUUUUAAAGACUAGGCGAACUUUUCUUCGCUCUUUCCUUGUCUUUGUGAUUUUUUAAGCAUGAGCACAUACAUCUUUAUGAAAAUUUCCUCAAAUGUUGAUUCCCAAGACACUUAAGUUAAAAUAGGUGCACAAAAUAGGAUAAUUUUAAAAAGAUGGUAACCGGCUUAUAAUGUAGGUUCAUUUCAAAAACAGGCCUUAAAGCUCAAAAUUGUAGUUUCAAGGGUCUAAUAUCAUAAGGUGGGCUUGAAAAGGCUCAAACGAUCCAAAGAAAAAUGGUGUUUAUAUCAUUUUAGAUUUUUAUGUCCCCUAGAAUUUCGCCUCAAGAAAGUUACUAAGUCAAUUCUAAAGAUAUAAACCUUCAUGCAUGUUUGAUCUCAAGAGAAGCUAAGUUUUCACGGCAAACAUUACCUAAGACUAAGAUCAUAAAAACAUUCCAUUCUUCACGAUAACAUACAAUCACUCAGAUAAAAUCAUCAUUCAUACUUGCAUACAAGAUAUCUUAUUAAAAAGAAUUUCUCUAAACAUUCAUUUAUUAAAACAUACUUAUGAAAGAAAUGAUUGAAACAUACUUGAAAAUUUUAAAAUUUAAGCAAUUUAUUUGCGUAACCCCCCUUUAAAAAGAAGCAAUGUCCUCAUUGCAAGAACAAAGUAUGAAUGAAACCUGAACACCAGGUAGGGUUGUCAAAACCAUUUUUUAUUUGAUUAACAAAAAUUUAGUAGUCGACUUAAAAAUAAAAAUUGGAGUCGCCACCGAUCUUUUAUUAAGGUGUGAUCGGCUCACCUUAAAAAUGGUUUUGGUCUGCAGAAUUUGAGAAAAUAGGUUCGGGACUCGGUUACAUACGAGGAAGUGUUAGCACCCUCGUAACACCCAAAAUUGGUACCGAAUUGAUUAAUUAAUGUCUUAAUGCCGAAUGUUUGAAAAGAUUUUAAAAUAUGAUCCUUUGAAAAGAAAAUUUGAAUAAAAUUAAUUGGAUGAUGAGACUCACUUAUUUCAAAGAAAUAAAUUGUCACACUCAGUAAGUUAGAGUGCAACAUCUUAAGUCCUCAAAAUUAAGUUUAUUUUUUUGACUUUUAAAACCUAUGCAUUUUGAGAAGGAUAUCUGAUUAUUUGGGUCAAAUGAAGAGAUCAAAACCCAGUAAGUUAGGGUUCAAUUUCUCAAAAUUCCAAAUACAGAAUAUUGCCUUUAUUUUUAGAAGAAUCCUCAUCUCGAGGAAACAACAUGUCAUACCCAAUGCGUUAGGGCACAACGUAUCAAAUUCCAGAGAAUGAGCUUUUUUAUUUAUGUUUUAAUUAAAGAGGAUAUUCGGUUUCCUAGAUCCCGAGGAAGAUUGGAAUCCAAUAAGUUAGGACACAAUCCUUUCGAGGAUCCCAAAUUCUGAGUGUCGCGUUGUCUUGAAAGACUUUUGUAUAAAUGAUUUUGAUAUUUAAACGAUAUUAGACGUAAUCUUUAAUGUAACGCGAUUGAAUGGUAAAGUAUGAGAUACUUUGUAAUCCGAAGACACACUAAAAAAUAAUGACCAAGCAAUAGAUAAAUGUUAACAAGAAUAGCAACAAUAAUUUUAAUCCUAUUAUACAAACAUCAAUAUUAACAAUUAAACAUCAAACGAAUUAAUAAUCGAUUUUAAAACGUAUACUAAGAAAACAGUGGCAAUAAGAGAAAUCACAAUCAAUAAAUUAUACAUGCCAAAGUCUUGAAAUGAACAAUAUAUAUAUAUAUAUACCAAUACAUAAUAUUUUUCUUUUAAAAUAAUGCCUAAUAAAUCUGAAAUGAUAAUACAUAAUAAAUUUAAAAAUAAAUAUAUAAUAAAGCUAAGCUAAUAAUACAUAAAAAUUUAUGAUGUUAAUAAUAUAUUGAAAUUUAAAAAUAAUACAUAAUGAAAUUUAACGCUAAUAAAUACGAUUGUAAUAUAUAUGAAAAAAAAUUCAAGUGUAGUACAUAAAGUAAUAUGUACAUAUAUAUAUAUAAAUAGAUAAAUAAAAUAUAAAUAACGUAAUUACAAUAUCAAUAAGGCUAGUGGAGACAAUGAUAAUAAUAAUAAAGAAGAUUAAACUAAUUAAUAAAAAAAACAAAUAACGAAGAGGAUUCAGUUGAGUUUUAAACAAAAUUACAAGGAAAAAAAUGAGAAUAAAACAAAACAGAGGGCCAAAAUAUAAUGCGCGAAUUACUUGGGGGACCAAGUAGGAAAUACUCCCUUCCCUCAAAACGCGGCGUUUAGAUCAAGACUGAAUUGAAACAAAUUCAAAAUUCAUGAAAGUAAUUUACAAAAAAAAAUGCAAUUAAAAUGAUGGAGUAAAAUGGAGGGAUCGAAGGCGCAAAUAGACCACACAACAAAAAUGCAUGGAUCCUCCCCGGGUCGGGUCACCGUGCUAACCAUAAACCACCAAACGGCGUCGUUUUGGAGCCAUUGGAACCGGGCUUAAACGACGUCGUUUUUUUAGACUAGAUAAAGAUCACUUCAAACCCUAAAUCAUAAACCCCAUGCCAUUUUCAAAACUCACGCCGCAAAACCUAUGUCUCUCUUCGUCGUUCGAACCCCUUCGACUCUGAUUUAGACGAAAUGAAUAGGAACUCCGACGACUCCUCCAAUGGCAAGAUCCUUUCACUUUCUCUCUUUUUGGAUUUCGUAGAGGAACAAAAAUAAUUUGCAUUAUAUCAAAAAAUGAAAUCUGCCAUUACUCUUUUAAAAAUCAAUCUAUUAUUAUUUUUUUGUUCAUAAUAAAAAAAAUCAAAGAAAUAAAAGAAGAAGAGGAAAAAAAAGGAAAACGGAGAAUCACCUUCAAAAAAAUUUACUUUUUUUCUUUUUGUAUUGAUAUCGUGUGUGUAAAAAAAUAAAAAGGUUCUUCCUUUUCUUUUAUAGCCGAGAGAAAAAGAAAGAGAAUAAAAUAAAAAUAAAACAUAUCCAUUUUCUUUCUGUUGUAUUGUUUUCGUCCCAUUUGUAGGCGUACGGAGGCUCGUCACACGCGAGGGGCUUGGCUGCGGCGCCUGGAUCUUCUAGGGUUUCCGUGUGUUGUUUAAUGUUUUGGGCUCAUUUGGGAUUUGGGUAGAAUUAGAUGUUGGACCUUAAUUGUUUGGGCUAAUUUCUGCCUAGGAUUUCACGGAACAAGAUAUUUUGCAAGUCUAGUCCCUGAGGAUUUGACCCUACUUCCCUUUUACUAUUCUUUUUCAUUAUUUAUUAGGGAUAGGAUAUUUUUGGUGCUUCCAAUGACCGCAUCAAAUUUUAGCGCCGUUGCCGGGGACUGGCAACAUAUUAAUCUUGUUGUUUGUUUCUUAUGGCCAGAUCUGCUCCAGGUACUCUUGAGUUCGAUUCAAAAAUUGAGAAGACUGCUAGAGCCAAUCACAAGGAGAAAAGUUACAGAAAAAGCAGUCAGCGGUGGUUGGAACUCAAAGUAACCCACCGCCAGAAAUAGAAGUCGACGACGAAGCUGAGUCUAGGGUUAACGAAAACCCUACUCGAACACUUGAGAGCGAAAAAGUAGAAGUUGACUCACCAGAACAAGUGCUUAACGCUAGGGUUAACAAAAACCCAAAUCUAGCACACCAACCAAUGGCUCAAACGAUUCGGCAACUGGCCGAAGCUCCGACAGAACAAUCGCCAUUGUGCAUCGCAUAUCCUACUAUGGAUACUGAUUUUGAGUUGAAGAUAGGUUUAAUCCAGUUAUUGCCAACUUUUCGUGGGUUACAAAAUGAAAAUCCCCACAAGCAUCUGAAAGAAUUUCAUUUGGUUUGUCUUAGCAUGAAACCUCAGGGGGUAACUGAGGAUCAGAUUAAAUUGCGUGCUUUCCCUUUCUCCCUAGCAGAUUCUGCUAAGGAAUGGUUAUUUUAUUUACCCCAUAGAUCUAUUACAACUUGGGCUGAUGAACAGGAUUUUUCCAGCGUCACGAGCAGCUGAGCUAAGAAGAGAGAUCAUUGGAAUAAGGCAAAAAGAAGCUGAAUCCCUUUACGAUUAUUGGGAGCGGUUUAAGAAGUUGUGUGCAAGCUACCCACAACAUGGUAUAACGGAGCAAUCUCUCCUCCAAUACUUUUACGAAGGUUUGAAGCCCAUGGAGAUGAAUAUGGUAGAUGCUGCUAGUGGAGGAGCAUUGGUCAACAUGACUCCCGAACAAGCGAGAGACUUGACCUCCACGAUGGCUGCAAAUUCUCACCAGUUUCGAGCUAAUACUGAACCCCCUAGAAGGGUUCACCAGCUAAGUAAUUCAACCUUAGAGGAUAAAGUUGAUAGACUUACUAAUAUGAUGAACUCUCUUAUUGCAGAAAAAGCGAAGACAACUCAGUUAUGCGGAAUAUCUGCUACACUUGAUUAUGCAACUGAUGCAUGUCCCAGUUUGUAUGAUGAUACCAUAGCCCAUCUGGAUGUUGUGGGAAAUUUCCCUGGGCCGCCACAAAGGCAGUACGACCCCUACGCUAAUACCUACAACCCAGGGUGGAGGGACCAUCCUAACUUAAGCUACGGGGCCAAUCCACGAAACAACCAGCCAUACCAAAAUCGGUUUCCGCAACAACCACAAGGUUCAGGUAAUUUUCUAAAAACCAUGGUCAAUAAGUUAGCAGCUAAUGUUCUUGAUUUUCAACAGCAAAAUCUUAAUUUCCAAAAAGAGACGAAGGAUUUCCAACAGAAAACUGAGGCGUCCAUCAGAGAGUUGACCACAUUAAUCGAGGAAUUGACCUCUCAAGGGAAGCUGCCGUCACAAACAGAACUAAACCCUAGACAAAAUGCAAAUGCAGUGAUGUUGCGAAGUGAAAAGGUACUGGAACCAAUUCCUGAUAGGAAUCUUGCCCAAGAAAUAGCCGAGGAAAAACCCGAAAAAGAUGAACAGGUUCGACCGAAGCCUCCAUUGCCUAAAAUUCAACCUCCAUUUCCAGAGCGAUUCAACUAGUGUCGAAAAGGUAAAGAGGACAAGGAAAUUCUUGAAACAUUUAGGAAUGUCGAGAUCAAUAUUCCGCUGUUGGACGCCAUCAAGCAAAUACCGCGGUAUGCUAAAUUUCUUAAAGAGCUUUGCACCAAAAAAUGAAAAUUAACAGGUAAUGAAAGGGUGAAUGUUGUUGAGAAUGUAUCCGCAGUGUUACAGCGGAAAAUGCCGGCAAAAUGCAAGGAUAGGGGCAUGUUUGUAAUACCAUGCAAAAUAGGCCAUCUGGGAAUUAAGAAGGCUAUGUGUGAUCUAGGGGCCUCUAUAAAUGUAAUGCCAUAUUCUAUUUAUGAAUCACUUAACGCGGGUUUUUUGACAAAAAAAGGUGUUAUCAUUCAAUUAGCAGACAGGUCUGUUGUGCAUUCAGAAGGAGUCCUUGAGGAUGUUCUGGUAAAAGUUAACGAGCUUAUUUUCCCUGCAGAUUUUUAUGUGAUCAAAAUGGAGGAGGAUAGCACUCCUGGAUCUUCAGAUCUCCUGUUGGGUUGACCGUUCCUUAGUACAGCUAGUACUAAAAUUGAUGUUCGAAGUGGAACUCUCACGAUGGAGUUUGAUGGGGAGAUCGUAAAGUUUAAUGUCUACGACGCCAUUAGCCAUCCAAGCGAAAUUUUGAGUGUAAAUCGUAUCGACAUAAUUGACUCUUUGGUGGAAGAGAAUUUUGAGUCAAUUUAUGGAGAUAAUUCUGAACUUGAUGAAAUUGAAUUUGUUAAUGAACUAUUAUCUCCAAAUACUAAACUGUUACCUUCCGUUAUACAGGCGCCAGAGUUGGAGUUGAAACCGCUUCCUGAGCAUCUGAAAUAUGUAUUUUUGGGGAAGGGUAAUACCCUAUUAGUCAUAAUCUCCAAUAGACUCUCCACACAUGAAGAGGAAAGUUUGGUUCAUAUAUUAAAAAGUCAUAAGGAGGCGAUCAGUUGGACCAUUGCAGACUUAAAAGGGAUAAGCCCUUUGACGUGUACACACAGGAUCUAUUUGGAGGAAGACACGAAAUCAAGGCAAGAGGCACAAAGAUGGCUAAAUCUGAAUAUGAUGGAGGUAGUACAAAAAGAAAUAAUCAAGCUUCUGGACGCUGACGUAAUUUACCCUAUUUCUGACAGUAGGUGGGUAAGUCCAGUUCAAGUCGUGCCCAAGAAAACGGGCGUGACAGUAAAGAAAAUGCUGAAGGUGACUUGGUACCUACCCGAGUACAAAAUGGGUGGCGCGUCUGCAUUGAUUACAGGAAGUUGAACUCAUACACUAGAAAAGAUCAUUUCCCUCUUCCUUUUAUAGAUCAAAUGCUUGAAAGAUUAGCCGAAAAAACUCACUUUUGUUGUCUUGAUGGAUACUCAGGUUUCUUUCAAAUUCCAGUCACACCGGAGGACCAAGAAAAGACCACUUUUACAUGCCCAUUCAGUACAUUUGCAUACAGAAGGAUGCCAUUCGGUCUUUGCAAUGCACCGGCCACCUUCCAAAUAUGCAUGAUAAGUAUAUUUUCUGAAUAUGUAGAAAAAAUUAUCGAAGUCUUUAUGGAUGAUUUUACUGUAUAUGGGAGUUGUUUUGAUGAAUGCCUUAAAAACCUAACGAUAAUUUUGAGUAGGUGCAUAGAAUUUAAUCUUGUCUUGAAUUAUGAAAAGUGUCAUUUUAUGGUAGACAAGGGUUUAAUUCUGGGUCAUGUUAUUUCAUCUAAAGGAAUUGAGGUCGAUAAGGCCAAAAUUGAUAUUAUAAAUUCUUUGCCUUAUCCCUCCACUGUGAGGGAAGUUCGUUCUUUCCUUGGCCAUGCAGGGUUUUACAAGCGCUUCAUAAAAAACUUCUCGAAGGUAGUUGAACCACUGUGUAAGUUGUUGCAGAAGGAUAAGAAAUUUGAGUUUGACCUAAAAUGUAAGGAGGCAUUUGAUACACUCAAGCAAAAGUUAGUCUCCGCUCCUAUAGUGCAACCACCAGAUUGGAAAUACCCAUUUGAAAUUAUGUACGAUGCCAGCGAGCGCAGUGUAGGAGCUGUGUUGGGGCAAAGGAUAGACAAAGAACCACAUGUCAUAUGUUAUGCCUCGAAAACCCUAGAUGUUGCCGGAGCAACUACACCACUAUGGAAAAAGAACUCUUAGCCGUUGUAUUUCCUUUAGAUAAAUUUCGGCCUUAUUUAUUGGGAUCUAAACUAAUUAUUUUUUCUGAUCAUGCAGCCCUCAGGUACUUGAUCUCGAAGAAAGAAGCAAAAUCGAGGCAUAUUAGGUGGAUUUUACUACUCCAAUAAUUUGACAUUGAGAUUCGAGACAAAAGGGGAUGCAAAAAUUUAGUGGCUGACCACUUAAGCAGAAUAAAAGUACCUUUUGACGACAUCCCUAUUAAGGAAGAAUUCCCUGAUGAGAGCCUAUUCUCGACUGAGGCACGUCUCCCAUGGUAUGCAAAUAUAGUAAACUUUCUAGCCACAGGAUCAUUACCCACUGAGUUAGCACGCUCUGUGAGAGACAAGCUUAGACGCGAUGCUCGAUAUUAUAUUUGGGAUGACCCAUACUUGUGGAAACACUGUUCAGACCAGAUAAUACGAAGAUGUGUUCCAGAAACUGAGGUAACUUCUAUCCAUAAUUUUUGUCAUGCUGAAGCUUGCGGAGGUCAUUUUGGCCCUAAGCGGACCGCUCAUAAGGUGUUAGAAUGUGGGUUAUAUUGGCCCACAAUUUUUCGAGACGCAUAUAACUUCUGUAAGUCUUGCGAUAGGUGCCGACAUACAGGUAACAUCACUCCCAUUUCUUUCUUCAUUUGGUAAUGUAUAUAUAAUUAUUGCAGUAGACUAUGUUUCUAAGUGGAUAGAAGCAAAGCCUACUCACAAUGAUAAUGCCAAAACUGCUAUGAAGUUUUUAAAGCAAACUAUUUUUUCCAGGUUUGGCACACCUCGAGCCCUAAUUAGUGAUCGUGGCACCCACAUUUGUAAUAAGGUCAUGGAGGAACUGUUGGCAAAAUACGGAGUCCACCAUCGUAUAGCUACGGCUUACCAUCCCCAAACGAAUGCUCAAGUUGAGGUCUCAAACAGGGAAAUCAAGACUAUUUUGGAGAAAACAGUUCGUCCUAACCGAAAGGAUUGGAGCCUUCGACUAAAUGACGCACUUUGGGCCUAUCGAACUGUGUAUAAGGGACCGAUUGGUAUGACCCCGUAUCGACUUGUUUUUGGUAAAGCUUGCCACCUUCUGGUCGAAUUGGAACAUAAAGCCUAUUGGGCCAUUCGACAGUGUAACAUGGAGUUAGAACCAGCAGAAAAUGCAAGGAAAUUAGACAUCCAAGAGUUAGAAGAAAUUCGCAAUGAUGCCUAUGAAAAUGCUCACAUUUAUAAAGACAAAACAAAGUUGUUUCAGGAUAAGAGAAUAGCUCAGAAGCAUUUUUCGGUAGGACAAAAAGUUUUACUUUAUAAUUCCGUGUUAAAGUUAUUCCUAGGUAAGCUUCGAUCACGAUGGCAAGGACCUUUUAUUGUUACUAAAGUGUUCACAGAUGGAGCAGUUGAAAUAGAGAGUGAAGAAUCUGGAAAGCGGUUCGUAGUCAAUGGCCAGCGGUUGAAGCCGUUUUAUGAGAAUUUUCAAGCCCACACGAUUGAGACAAUCCAUUUGGAACCACCAUAGAACCAAUAACGGCGUCGAGCUAACGACAUUAAACAAGCGCUUGUUGGGAGGCAACCCAAUUUUUAUUUUUAUUUUUAUUUAUUUUUUUCUUUACUUUAUUUAUUACUUUAUUUUAUUUUAUUUUACUUAUUGGAUAUUAAUAAAUUUUUCUUCUUUUGCUUAGAUAAAACAUAGCGAAAAUGCGAAAAAAACCGUUGAGCAACGCUUAGAGCGCAUUGAGGCCCGACUUGAAACCUUUGGCCAGCAACUGACCAAGCUCAUUGCCAUCAUUUGCGAUCGACAGUAACAACACGGGGAUUUUUUCUAAACUUUUCUACCUAUUUAUUUCUUUUCGUCCACAUUGAGGACAAUGUGCUUUCAGUAGGGAGAGGUACUCUUCGUUAUUACUAUCAUUUUCUACUGUGAUUUUGGUUAUUAUUGCUGAUGUUACUGGUGUUGCUGCUUGAGACUUUAUUUUUUCCAUAUUUAUUUUUUUUGAAUCUCCUGCCUCUUUUCAUGCCCAAGAUUUUUACCAAGAAUUGCCUACUGUUUGACUUACAAGCAUGAUUCUUGUUUUCUGAGAAAAUUACGAGUUUUCCAUAAUUAAUGCCAUCUCCACUGUUUUAUUCUUAUCAGACUAAAAAUAAUUGUGAUUCAUAAAGUUAACUUUAUCUUGCUUUUCGUAAAAUUGAUCAAGUUUAAAUACAAAGUAGACACUUAAUAUGUUUGCAUGCUAAAAUAUGUUGAUGACUAUUAAGGUAAUUAUUGAAACUUAUUUUUGACACUUGAUUAUUUUUUCUCUAAAGUCCUCAUAAAAAAGUUAUUAUUAAAAUGUUGUUUCCGUGGUUAUGAGUGCAGCUUAAAAACGUGACUGACUGAGUAACCGGGGUAGGGUGCUUGGGUUGUCAUCCUAUUUCGCGUCAAAAAGUUGUGUGACGUGUGAGGUAAAACUCCGCUAACUGGAAUUAAUUUUUAAGAACAUGUUGGGCUGAGUAACCGGGGUGGGGUGCUUGGCUGUCAUCUAUCUUCGCGUUAAAAGGUUUGAUGUGUUCAUAAGAAAAAUUAUAAUAAAUUAGGAGUUUGCUGGGCUGAGUAACCAGGGUGGGGUGCUUGGCUGUCAUCUCUCUUCGCGUCAAAAGGUUCAGUAUAUUCCUAAAGCAUAAAAAAAGAGAAAAAAACAAAAAGAAAAAAAAUAAUUUGGAGACUGAAGGACGAAACAAAAAGAGUGUCUUGGUAGGUUUGGUAAUUUACCUAAUUUUCAUUAAAUAAUUCAAGUUGAUUCUAAUUUUUGUGUGUAUUAAUUGGAAAACUUUUUCUGUUUUACUUAAAGCAAGCUUAGGGUUCUCUUUAUUUUUCAUAUGCAUUUUUGACUGAUUUUUAUAAAACUUUGGAGUUGUAUUUCUUUUAUGUCAGAAUCUAACUUUCACAGUAGAUAGGAACCAUACUUGAGGGCAAGCAUGGGCUAAGUAAGGGGGAUUUGAUAACACUCUAGAAUAACAUAUUUUUAUGUAUUAAUUAUGUAUUUAUUCUGAGUAUGAUCCUGCUAAUUUGAGCUAUUUAUGAUAUUUUAUCUCAUAGGGACUAAAUUUGAGGCAAAAGCAAAAUUAAGGGCCAAAAGCAUGAAUUUAGAGAAAAAACAGGCCAAUGUGCGACAUAAGGAAAAGUUGGUGCCAAAAGUGCAAGCAUGGAGGACACAAGGGUUGAAAUGCAAAAAGAAGAGAUUUUAUUCUAUUAAACUCUAUUUUAAUUAUAUUAGGAUAAUUAAUAUUGAGAUAAUUAUUAAGGAUUAUUUUUAGGAUUUUAUUUUAUCUUUAUUUAUCUUCAAUUAAACGUAUUUAUCUUUUAGGAAUUUAAGUAGGAUUAGAAUAUCUCCCUUAGCACUAUAAACAGGGGGUGAAGUGACUCAAAAGGGGAUCCCAGAUAUUUUUCUGAAAACACUCUCUCCCCAAAAGUUUAGGCUUUUGUUCUUCUCAUAUUUCUUUUUAAUAAAAUCUUUAUUUCUAUUUAUUUAUUUUCUUUUCUACCACAACCAUGAGCCACUAAACCCAUCUAGCUGAAGGUUGUCAAAAAUCUCCAAAAGGGUUCAUGAGGCUUAGAAUCCGUACUUAGCUUCCGUCCAUGUCCCUAAAGAAGUAAGCUUUUCAACAUAUGCAAAGGCGGCCGCUUUGUAUGUUUUGGGAAGGUUGCACAGUCGGUUCAUUAGCUUACUGCGUCAGAGGUUGGCGAGCCCAAGAGACAAAAUGGCGUGGGAUUCGCCAUUGAGAAGUGUUGAUCUAGCAUAAGACGAUCCCACAGAAGCGAUUGUUGGCUAGAGUCAAGUUCCACCACAUCGUAAGUCUAAGUCAUUGGAGCUGGUGGUCGUAGGCGUCCUCUUCCACUAUAACUGGCUUAUUCGGUUUGGGAAGGUUCAUCUAAAAGUCGAGGAUUGAACCCAAGGCAGAACGAGACAACUGGAGGCUGGAAUCUCCCAUAAGAAUUUCCUUUCUCUCAACUCUAUUUUUAAUUUCUCAAAUUUUCGAUUCAAUAUUCUUAAUUCUAUUUUUAUUUUAUUCUUCGUUUCCAGAUCCAAACAUUUAAUUCUGUUAUUUUUAAUUUUUUCAGGAACGCAGGUUGUCUUGGGCAAGACUCUUCCUAGGAUUCCACGGAACAAGAUAUUGUGCAAAUCCAGUCCCUGAGGAUUUGACCCUACUUCCCUUUUACUAUUCUUUUUCAUUAUUUAUUAGGGAUAGGAUAUUUUUGGUUCUUUCAACGACCGCAUCAGUGUUGUUUAGUGUUUUGGGCUCAUUUGGGGUUUGGGUAGAAUUAGAUGUUGGGCCUUAAUUGUUUGGGCUAAUUUUUGGACUGGUGUUUAGUGGGUUUGAGGUUUAAUGUAAUCCGGGCUUGGAUUUUAUUAAAUUUGUAAUACUGGACUGUAUUGGACUUUUAUUAUAUUUAUUUUAUAUAUAUAUUUUUAUAUUUGGGUUUUAAUACUUGGGUUCGGGUCGGGCAAAAUUUGGGUAUUACAGCUGCCUCUCUUUGCUCGUUAUCGUGUAACGAGAACGGAGCAAAGACUCUAGAAAUGGCCAAUUUUGCCCGGUCGUGUUGGACCUUGGCGCUCUUCUUCUUCGAGUUGCCUCAUUCCAUCCUACUGCAUCUUCAGAAGUAUAGGAAUUGGUGCAUCGAUCCACUCCACCGCAACGUCGGGGAGAUAGGAUUUGUAACUCGUAACUUUAAUCUGCUUAACUGUGAUGUUAGGGAAGCAAGACUCGCUAUUGUAACUUCAAUCUGUUCUAUUACACCACCAGAGAAGUAAGAUUUGCUAUUCUCAGUCUGCUACGCUGCAACUUCAGGGAGAUAAGACCUGAUGCGAUCCACUCUACUACAACUUUAGAGAGAUAAGAUCUAUUAUUUUAAUUCACUCCACUGCAACCUCAGGGAGAUAGGAUUAGUGGCUUCAAUCUACUCCAGUGUAACCUCAGGGAGGUAAAAUCAGCCACCUUUAGUCUGCCCCACUGCAACUUCAUGGGGAUAAGACCUACUUACUCAGUCUGCUCCACUACAACCUCAGGGAGAUAAGACUUGAUGCGAUCCACUUUACUACAACUUCAAAGAGAUAAGAUCUAUUAUUUUAAUCCGCUCCGCUGCAACUUCAGGGAGAUAGGAUUAAUGGCUUCAAUCUGCUCCACUGCAACCUCAAGGAGAUAAGAUUUGCCAUCUUCGAUCUGCUCCACUACUACUUAGGGAGAUAAGAUCUGUAAUUCUUGAACCUACUCCACUACUGCUUAGGGACAUAAAUCUUACAAUCUUCAACCUAUUUCACUGCUGUCCCGGGAUAUAGGAUUCACAAUCUUUAACCUACUCCACUGCUAUCCAGGGAGAUAGGAUUCACAAUCUUCAACCUACUCUACUGCUGUCCAGGGAGAUAGGAUUCACAAUCUUUAACCUACUCUACUGCUGUCCAGGGAGAUAGGAUUCACAAUCUUCAACCUAUUCCACUGCUGUCCAGGGAGAUAGGGCUGGGGUCAUCGAUCUACUUCGCUGUCGGUGUAGGAAGGCAAGAUCUGUUAUUUUCAACCUGCUCUGCUGCAACCCAGGGAGGCAAGGCUAGUGUCUUCAAUCUACAUCGCUGUCGGUGCAGAAAGGCGAGAUCUGCUAUUUUCACUGAUAUGUUCUCUGGGGAACAUGACUUGUAUAAUGAACCUAAUUAUGCCUAAUGAUUAGGACGGCAUGAUCAAAAUGAAUCAAAUGCUCCUAACUAGACAUGUGUGAAUGGUGUUUGCAUGAAUGCAGAAUUUUAUUUUUUCGAGAAUGAUCCUUCUUUAUCACUUAGGUUAUCAUUACUCAAAGUUGAUUAAAGCUUUAUCACUGACGUACUAUAACGCCUUCGCUCAGCCGGCAUCUCCAAAGGAACACUUAAUCAAAUUGCCCCCACUGUGAACUUCAAAGUUAAUUCCACUAGGACGCAAAAUUUAUACCAUCUUUCUCGCGCUGUGAACCAAGGGUAGAAAAAUCUGGUUUUUUCUCAAUCCUCUUCUAUCAUAAUUGAAAGCUAUAGAAUAUGAAACUCUUUGGUCCUUUACAUUAUGCCUAUGCACAAAUGAAGAAUUCUCUUCUCCAAGAAUAGCUUCCUCUUAUUAUUCAGUGAUCAUUGCUUGCUUGUUCAUGACAUCUCGUCAUUUUGUUCAAUCAUAUUUGACAACAACAUCCAAAGAGAAAGUCCUAAUUUAGACUCUUCCUUUUCAGAUUUCCAACCUUUAAACUUGGUACGUUCUAAACAUUAGUCCUGUUUCAGGCUCCUGUAUUAUUUAGAAACUUCUAGAGUAAUAUGUAAAACUUCCCUUGUGAAAGUUUUAUUAGUCCAUUAAUCAUUAUCCCAAUGCAACAUGCUUGCAAAAAGGGUCAUAACAAUGGUUAAGAAUAAAGUUGGUUCUGAGCAUAGCUCGAAAGGAAUAAAUUACCAAAAAUAGUAAAGAUGGAUAACAAAGAAAUUGAUUGGGAAUGUGUAUCUUGGAAAAGAAUGAAAUAUUCCAAGAACAACAAAUUCAAUAUAAAUAGUAUGCAAAUUGGGUGCCCCAGAUAUCGUAGCUUGAACUUCUUUGUACAAACUUUCUGAAGACCAUUCUGAGUUUGACAUGAGUUUAGGAGAUCUACAGUAUUUUCUCGAUGCCCCAAGAUGUCGCCUACCCUUUCCUAUUGAUUCAGGUAUAACAAGAUCACCACAUGCCCCAAUAUGAUCAAUAUUUGAGCCGCCCUUUUCGGGUUUUCUACUCAAAUUCCCUUUGGCCUAAGGCGCCCUUUGCGGGUUUUCCCCUUAGCCUCUCCAUUUUUACUUUUUCAUUUUUUCAUUUUUCACAUUUUUUUUGACUCAAAGUGCCCUUUGCAGGUUUUCACCUUGGUCCUUUCUUCUUCUUUAAACGAAAUAUUUCUUGACUAGAUCUGAGUUUAUAGGAUUUGGCAAGUUUUUACCAUCCAUCUCACUUAGAAUCAAAGCUCCACCAGAAAAGACCUUCUUUACGACAUAAGGACCCUCCCAAUUUGGCAUCCAUUUUCCUCUAAAGUCUUUUUGUAUAGGAAGAAUUUUCUUCAACACCAGAUCCCUUCGUGGAAUUCUUUGGGACGACCCUACUUAUUAUGGGCUCGUAUCAUUUAUUUCUGGUACAUCCGAUCCUGAUGAAUAGCUUUUAACCCUUUUCCUAGGUUCAACUGAUCACAUCACGAUUGGAUUCAUUCUGCUUCAUCCAACUCUAGCUUAACUAAUACCCGGAGAGAGGGGAUUUCAAUAGGUAAAACUACCUCAAUCUCGUAAACCAAAGUGAAAGGUGUUGCCCCAGUACAGAUGUUUGACAAGCAAGUAGGGCAAAUGGUAAUUUCUCAUGCCAGUCCUUGCAAGUCACAGUCAUUUUUCCUUCAAUUUUCUUGAUAUUCAUCUCUAGGCAAUUUGGUGAUGAAUUGUGGUGUCUGAUUUUGGCUUGAUUACGGACCUCAGCUAUCGUGCUAUUGUUCAGGAUCAAUUCAUUAUCCAAUAUAAUCCUCUCUGACGGUCUAUAUAGUCAUAUGAUGACAUUAGUGUAUGGAGCAACCUCUACUAGUUUGAUGAAGUAAUUGAUAUCCUAAAAAAUAAGGCGAUGCACAUUAGAAGCCUUCGGUGAUAUUGGCCCAAUGUCAUCCAUGCCCCACUUUGCUCAAAAUUUGAGUCGCCCUUUUCGGGUUUUCAACUCAAAUCCACCUUUGGUCAAAGCACCUUUUGAGAGUUUUUGCCUUGACCUCUCCUUUUUCUUUUUUUUUUCAUUUCAUCAUUUUUUUGUUUUGAUUUUAAUUAUUUUUUUUUUGAUUUUUUGAUUUUGAUUUCUUUUUUUUAUUGAAUCUGAACUCAUAGGAUUAGGCAACUCAUUGCUAUCCCUUUCGAUCAGAAUCAAUAUUUUUGUAGAUAAAGUCUUUCACCUAAGAUCUUCCACUUUCAUCUUGCAUGCGAAAAAUCUUAUUUGGCAUCUGAUUUCUUUCUUAGAGCCUUUUGGGGCGCAACUACGAUAGAAAACUUUGGAUCUUACUCUUUAAUCGGGAUAAAAUCCAAUAAAACUUGAAGAGAUGGAAACUCGACUUCAAACAGGCAAAGCUAUGAUGAGUCAACGAGAAAGGCAUUGCCCUGGCAAAGAAUUGCAUCGUUCAUACUGCAAAUUUCUGACAUCGUGCUGUUGUGUAGAUUUCAUUAUCAGAUGUUAACCCAGGCAUAUCCUGGUAUGAUCAUACAAAGACAUCUUUGAACUCUAGAGGUAACUCAACAAGGUCUUGCUUCAUCUUCUCGAUCAGGUCAAUUCUAAUCUUCACCAAGCUCACAAUUCCAAAUGAUUCCUUGUGAGGUAGGAUUUGUCUAUCCUCUUGUUCUACCAUCCUCAACAAGUCCAGAGAUAAGCUACGAUCUAUGUCAUUUUCAAAGUCAUGAGAUCCCUCUAAACACAUGCCUCGCUCAAAAGGAAAAUCUAAGUCUGUAGCAGCGUCAUUCAUGUAAUUGAUAUCUGGGGACCCAUAAUAAGUACCAAAGAAUGUACAAAAGAAUGUAUAAAUUUAUGAAUAAUUAUUUUUACAAUAUGCUUAUGAAUGAAUGAAUGAUGUGGAAGGAAAUUCAAAAGAAUGAAAGAAUAAUUAUUCAAAAAGACUGAAAGAAUAUUGGUUCAAAAAUGAUCACAAGAAUGCAUUUCAUUAAAAUAACAAUGUUCAGACAUGAGCCUAUUUCACAAAGAAGUUCUGAUUGCUUCUAGGCUAAAAGCAACAAGUGCGUUCUGACUAUUACUCUAAGUAAGCUCUAAAUACUAUAGGAAUUUCUUCCGGAGUCCAAUUGCUAAGAACACUCCCAGAUUUAUAAGGACGGAUAUCUAACAAGGUCCCUUCUUCAAUUGUGUCUUCAUACAUGUCAUUGAUUUGAACGCUUCCCAACAUCUCUUCAUACAUCGCAUCAAUCAUGAUUGGGUAGAGGGUUUUCUGCACUAGAGUCAUCAAACUUGACAACACCCAUGUUGAUGUGCCUUUAAACAAGCUUUUUAAAGACGGUGCAAUUUUCUAUCGAAUACCCCGCAAUUCCCGCAUGAUAAUCACGUUGUGCAUUCACGUCAUACCAUUUGGGGUACGGAGGUUGCAGGGGUUUUAAGUAGAAAGGGGAAACAACGUGCGCAUCGAAUAAGCUUUGAUACAGCUCCUUAUACGACAUCAAAAUUGGCGUGAACUGGAGCUUUUUAGUAUUUUUUUCACACCAGAUUCUUGUCUUGAUGAACCUUGUAGACUAGCAACCACUUUUCUUGGCUGGUUCACCGUAAUUGAUUUGUUGUAUGUGCUCACGUUGUUUACCUCAUUCUCCUUUCUCCUUGCGGCUGACUUUUUGUUACUCUCUCAUGGCUUUAUUUUCCCAUUCCUGGUGGCAUUUUCAAUCAUCUCACCAUUCAUGAUUAUAUCUGAGAAACUCUUUGAGGCACUUCCCAACAUGUGCGUGAUAAAUAGGGCUUUCAGUGUGUUGAUGAAGAGCAUCGUCGUCUCUUUCUCCAAUAGUGGCGGCUGAACCUGGAUAGCGACUUCCCUCCAUCUUUGUGCGUAUUGCCUGAAACUCUCGCUCGAUUUCUUCUCCAUGUUUUGUAACGUAAUGCUAUCAGGGGUCGUAUCAGUUACACGACUGUACUGUUUUAUGAAUACCUGUGCCAGGUCCCUCCAUGAACCAAUCUUGGUACUGCUCAAUUGAUUGUACCAUUUGGACGCUGCCCCUACCAAACUGUCCUAGAAGCAGUGUAUUAGCAGCUGGUCAUUGUUAACGUAGUCAGUCAUCCUUCUACAGAACAUGGUGAUGUGAGCCUCGGGGCAACUAGUUCCAUUGUAUUUCGAAUUCAGGCAUUUUGAACUUGUGAGGGAGUACUAAGUCCGGAACCAAGCUCAGAUCUUUAGCGUCGAUUCCAUGAUGGCUAUCAGCGCUUUCCAAGGCUUUGAAUUUUUCCUCCAACCAUUUACACCUAUCCUCCCAUUGUUUUGGUAGCUCCACGUUUGCCUUUUCUUUUUCAUUCGUUUCAUCAAAAUUGGGAAUAAUAGGGUUAAUCAGGUUAUCUCUUAGGAUUAAACUUGAUCCACCUUGGAGAUUCACGGGCAUAGAGGCACCAGCUUGGAAUUGUUGAGGCCUAAUUGUAACAGAUAGUCUUCUUGGGUAUAUGUCAGCUUAGGUUUGUGCAUUUGGUGGAGUAAAACCCGGGGGAUAUAACGGAUCCUCAUUAUCUUCUCUAGGAUUGGUCAUAGGGUCCUUUCCCUUAUUUGCUCCUCCCGCCAGUAAUUGAGUUAACUGAGCAAUCAUCUUUUUCGUCAUAUUUUGUUGAAUUUUUUCUAAUUGCUCUUGCAUUCGCACUUGUAACCGUGCUUGCAUAUCCUUUUGCAUUUGCUCCAGCUUCUCUAAUCUUUGAUCCAUUUCCUUAGUUUUGGGACGAGUACCGUAAGGGUGUUUGGUUGAUUGGUUUUCCAGAUUAGCUGAAAUAAAUUUACUCAAUUAGAAUCUUUCAAUGGAUUUUGAUGAUGUCAUGUAAUGUAAAUGCAUGAAAUGAAUGCCUAAAGAGGGGUUGAUUUUGAUUCAAUUACAUUUAGAAAACUUUACUAGAAGAUAAAUUUCUUUACAUAAAGCGGAUAUAUAUACAGUCUCGCCCUCAUAUUCCAAGAGACAACAUCGAUCCCUUCCUUCAUCCGUGUGCUAAGAUAAACCUUGCGAAUUCUUCAAAAAAGGUGUCUCCUUUAUCUCUUUUUGUUUGAUCUUGGUCGCAAUCCGUUGUCUGCCUAUCCUCGUAAUGCUAAUCAGGUCCUUUAAGGAAGUUAGAAUGUCGAUGGCUCUUAGAUAGUCAUCUUGAAUCUUCGAGCCAUGAGGUACAAUCAUGAACUUUUCCUUCACCCUUCUUGUGUUUCUCGGAAUAUAUUCAGGAAGUCGUACUAUUUUCCAUUUUAUCAAGAAAUCUGUAUUCCAUGAAAAGCUUUCUAAUUUAGUAAUCGGACUCGAAUCAACAUCUCUUUCCUAAGAUGCAAAUGCAAUGCAAUCAUAGUCAAAGCAAAACAAAACGAGUUAGUACAAACUAAAAGCAAACAAAAGAAUACCUAGUCGGGAAACCACUAGGGGUUUGGAGUAGUCCUACCUAAGGUGGGCACCAAAGGUCUUUUACAUGCGGUUUGGUUCUAAAGUUGAGGUACCCAAACCAGCAGAUUCCUCGAUCCUCACCCAUUAUAGGCUCAUACAGGUCGAGUUCGGUUCAGGGGAAUACAUUCCCCUAUGGUUGCACGGAGAUGAAAAUCUCACGAAGACAUAGGUACGAAUGUAUUCCGAAAGUGAUCCACUAUCCUGCACGGAGGUGAAAACCUCACGAAGAAGUAGUUUCUCACUUCCAUUUAAAAGGUAAGACUAAACAAUCUUUAUGCAAUAUGAUGCCAAAAUAUAAAACCCAGUCAGUAGUAAUCAAUCACAAACAAAUGCAAUGAGAGGAUCGUAAUUUUUAAAAUCAAAUUUUCAAUUUUCGAUAAUAAGACAGAAAACAAUCAGUUUUACGGCUUGACUCUCUAAAGUCCCCAGUGGAGUCGCCAAGAUGUCGAAACCAUUUUUUUUUGAAAAACAAAAAUUUAGUAGUCGACUUAAAAAUGAAAAUUAGAGUUGCCACUGAUCUUUUAUUGAGGUGUGAUCGACUCACCUUAAAAACAAUUUUGGUCUGCAGAAUUUGAGAAAACAGGUUCGGGAGUUGGUUACGUACGAGGAAGUGUUAGCACCCUCGUAAUGCCCAAAAUUGGUACCGAAUUGAUUCAUUAAUGUCUUAAUGUCGAAUGUUUGAAAAGAUUUUAAAAUACGAUCCUUUGAAAAGAAAAUUUGAAUAAAAUUAAUUGGAUGAUGAGACUCACUUAUUUCAAAGAAAUAAAUUAUCACACUCAGUAAGUUAGAGUGCAAUAUCUUAAAUCCUCAAAAUUAAGUUUAUUUUUUGACUUUUAAAACCUAUGCAUUUUGAGAAGGAUAUCUGAUUAUUUGGGUCAAAUGAAGAGAUCAAAAUCCAGUAAGUUAGGGUCCAAUUUCACAAAAUUCCAAAUACAGAAUAUUGCCUUUAUUUUUAGAAGAAUCCUCAUCUCGAGGAAACAACAUGUCAUACCCAAUGCGUUAGGGCACAACGUAUCGAAUUCCCGAGAAUGAGCUUUUUUAUUUAUGUUUUAAUUAAAGAGGAUAUUCGGCUUCCUAGAUCCCGAGGAAGAUUGGAAUCCAAUAAGUUAGGACACAAUCUUUUCGAGGAUUCCAAAUUCCAAGUGUCGCGUUGUCUUGAAAGACUUUUGUAUAAAUGAUUUUGAUAUUUAAAAGAUAUUAGACGUAAUCUUUAAUGUAACGCGAUUGAAUGGUAAAGUGUGAGAUAAUUGGUAAUCCGAACACACAUUAAAAAAUAAUGACCAAGCAAUAGAUAAAUGUUAACAAGAAUAGCAACAAUAAUUUUAAUCCUAUUAUGCAAACAUCAGUAUUACAAAUUAAACAUCAAACGAAUUAAUAAUCAAUUUUAAAACGUGUACGAAGAAAACAGUGGCAGCAAGAGAAAUCACAAUCAAUAAAUUAUACAUGCCAAAGUCUUGAAAUAAACAAAAUAUAUAUAUACCAAUACAUAAUAUUUUUCUUUUAAAAUAAUGCCUAAUAAAUCUGAAAUGAUAAUACAUAAUAAAUUUAAAAAUAAAUAUAUAAUAAAUCUAAGCUAAUAAUACAUAAAAGUUUAUGAUGUUAAUAAUAUAUUGUAAUUUAAAAAUAAUACAUAAUGAAAUUUAAUGCUAAUAUAUAUGAUUGUAAUAUAUAUGAAAAAAAAUUCAAGUGUAGUACGUAAAGUAAUAUGUACAUAUAUAUAUAAAUAGAUAAAUAAAAUAUAAAUAACAUAAUUACAAUAUCAAUAAGGCUAGUGGAGACAAUGAUAAUAAUAAUAAAGAAGAUUAAACUAAUUAAUAAAAAAACAAAUAACAAAGAGGAUUAAAUUGAAUUUUAAACAAAAUUACAAGGAAAAAAAUGAGAAUAAAACAAAACAGAGGGCCAAAAUAUAAUGCGCGAAUUACUUGGGGCACCAAGCAGAAAAUACUCCCUUCCCUCAAAACGUGGUGUUUAGAUCAAGACUGAAUUGACACAAAUUCAAAAUUCAUGCGGGAAAUUUACAAAAAAAAAUGAAAUUAAAAUGAUGGAGUAAAAUGGAGGGAUCGAAGGCGCAAAUAGACUACACAACAAAAAUGCGUGGAUCCUUCCCAGGUCGGGUCACCCUGCUAACCAUAAACCACCAAACGGCGUCGUUUUGGAGCCAUUGGAACCAGGCUUAAACGACGUCAUUUUUUAGACUAUAUAAAGACGACUUCAAACCCUAAAUCAGAAACCCCUUGCCAUUUUCAAAACUCACGCCGCAAAACCUAUGUCUCUCUUCGUCGUUCGAACCCCUUCGACUCUGAUUUAGACGGGAUGAAUAGGAACUCCGACGACUCCUACAAUGGUAAGAUCCUCUCACUUUCUCUCUUUUUGGAUUUCGUAAAGGAGCAAAAAUGAUUUGCAUUAUAUCAGAAAAUGAAAUCUGCCAUUACUCUUUUAAAAAUCAAUCUAUUAUUACUGUUUUGUUCAUAAUGAAAUCACCUUCAAAAAAAAUUGCUUUUUUCUUUUUGUAUUGAUAUCGUGUGUGUAAAAAAAAUACAAAGGUUCUUCCCUUUCUUUUAUAGCCGAGAGAAAAAGAAAGAGAAUAAAAUAAAAAUACAAUAUAUCCAUUUUCUUUUUGUUGUGUUGUUUUCGUCCCAUUUGUAAGUGUACGGAGGCGGUGGACGUAGUGUGUACGGAGGAGAAGGCGUACGCGUACGGAGGCUCAUCACGCGCGAGGGGCUUGGCUUUGGCACCUGGAUCUUCUAGGGUUUCCAUGUGUUGUUUAGUUUUUUGGGCUCAUUUAGGGUUUGGGUAGAAUUAGAUGUUGGACCUUAAUUGUUUAGGCUAAUUUUUGGACUGGUGUUUAGUGGGUUUGAGGCUUAAUGUAAUCCGGGCUUAGAUUUUAUUAAAUUUGUAAUACUGGACUGUAUUGGACUUUUAUUAUAUAUAUUUUAUAUUUUUUUAUAUUUGGGUUUUAAUACUUGGGUUCGGGUCGGGCAAAAUUUGGGUAUGACACAUUCAUUUAUUAAAACAUACUUAUGAAAGAAAUGAUUGAAACAUACUUGAAAAUUUUAAAAUUUGAGCAAUUUAUUUGCCUUACCCCCUUUAAAAAGAAGCAAUGUCCUCAUUGCAAGAACAAAGUAUGAAUGAAAACUGAACACCAGGUAGGGUUGUAAAGAAAGAGAGGUGAGUCAUUAAGACUUCUUAAAUACCAAGUCUUUCCUAAUAACCCAAUCCUAGACAUCUUCAUUCUCAUUGCCACAUCACUUAGUCUUUUUCUUUCUAAAGAAGUAUUUAUUCAUGCUUUCUAUGUUUAUUUUUCAAAAAUUAAAUCCUAAUUACUAAAGAAAUAAAUUCCUAAAGACCUAGAAAACAAUUAAAUAAAUAACAAGACAAGAAUCCCCCAUUUUAUUUUUCUGACUCAUUCCCCUUGUCUUAUUUAGUUCCAUCUCUGCUUGCAUCGUUUGUAUCUUCCGUUCAUGUCUCAAAGAUAGCAUCUGAGAAUUCAAGAACAAAAGUGUUAGAGAUAUUCAUAAAAGUAUUUCAAAUUGAAUCAUCCCUAAUUUUUGCAUAUUUCCAGUAAGUUUGUUGUUGAUUGUGCAUGAACUUGCACAUAUCCAUCAAAAUUGUCAACUUCGAUUUCUUUGAAGUACUUGCAAGAGUCGGCAUUGGAGUCGUAAAUUCUGGUUCAACACUUAGCUUGACUGGUUCUUCUUCUAGCUCAACCAUUGGUUUAGAGUUUUCAGUUCCUUCAACUGGUUGAGGACUAUUUGGUUCCUUAUCAGAUUCUCCUUCAAUGUCUGUGUAACGCCCCAAAAAUGUAUAUUUUUGUUUAUAAAAAUAUGACACAAAUAUGUUUCUGCUUUAGUGGUUAAGUGUUCUAGGUGUGUGUAUGAGGUCCUAAGUUCAAGCCAUGCCUUUGGCGAAAUUUUGGAAUUUUUUCUAAUUAAAGCCUUAUCCUUAUUCAGUGGGCUUAAUUUUAAUUAUUUGUAAAACCAUAUCAGAAUGAGCCUACUGGUUCAAGUGGUAAGGCAGUUGGAGUGUUGGAGAUUUCGUGUUUGAAUCUUUGCACGAGUGAGAAUGUUAAUUGUUUUACUUGAUUUCCUAGAAGAGUUGUGCAGAAGAUGGAUUCUGAGUAGUUGGGAUUUGGGGAGUUAUCAGGAUUAUUUUUGUACUUUUUUAUUUUAUUCAUUUCAAAAUUUGUUUCUCUCUCUUUCUCUCCAAAAUUCUGACGUCGACUUUCUUCUUCACUUUUCUUCUUCGAUUUUUCUCGACUUCCUGUUGAAUUUUUCACAGUCAUUGCGUUCAUGGCCCUUUUUCAUCUGGUAAGUGAUCUCUUUUAGUCUUCUUCCUUUGAUUUGGGGUCUAGAGACAUUAGUUUAUGGUAGUUAAUCGAUGUAUCCUGUGUUUAUGAAAAGAUCAAGGUGCUGGGGUUUCCGAGUCGAUGCUUUAAAUGUGCAGAUUAAUGUUGCUCGACCUAAGGUAAGAUUUUAGUCGAUUUAAGUGGGUUGUUCAUCACUUUUGGUUCGGUUUAAUGUCAUUCUAAGUGUUUAAUUCUGGGUUUGUUUGGUCAAUAUUAGGUAUUGAAGUGCUUGUGUGCGUAUUUGCAGUGAAACGAUACCAGGUGUGUACCCAAAACACAAAAAUAAGAGAUUCGGCAAAAAGCCAAAAUUGCUUGCUGUUUGGAUAGCAGCAGUAAGCUAAAUUUGAAAAAUCACCAUAAAUUGUAAAAAUCGAAUUAAAGGAUGAAAAAAAUAUGGAAUUAAAUAUAUUUAAGUUUAGUUUUUUAUAGAAGAAACAAAGUAAGAAAAUAUUUUCAUGUUAUGGGAUAUUUGAAUUUUAGUGAGAUAGGUUCAGAAUGAUUUCAAAAUCCCUAUCCUGCAUUUGGAAAAUUAUUAAAAAUUUUAUAAAAAUAAUUAUGGGUUAAAAUUUAUAUGUUUAAAAUCUGGAAAAGCAAACAAGAACAUCAUCUGAAUUCUGUAGAAGAAGAUAAUUAAUUUUUAGUGCAGAAAGGUCGAAACUGUCAGACAGCAGAACAAGGAAAACUUUAAACAAUAAACUGUACUUAUUGGCUAAACCAAUAAUUCUAAAAAUUUUAUGGUAAGAAAAUAUGUGAGUCUGGUUUCAGAGAAAAUUUUCAGAUCUUAAUUCAAAAUUCUGUAGCUUAAGACACAAAUAAUUUAGUUACAGUGACUCAAAUAGACAACUUUGAAGGAUCAUAUAAGUAAAUAGUGGAAACACAUAUGAAUAAUUAACUAGCAUGGGUUACAUUAAAAUGGAUCACGAGGCCAAGGCCAAUUUGGGUCAUGUGGGUCACACGGGCGUGUGGGUCCACACAAGCGAACAUCAUGGGCUUGUAGGCCUAUUUUCACUGUUUGAUUGAUAAGGUCGCACGGGUCGCCCAAGUCGUCUGUGAACCUACUGUAGGGUCGGUAAGUUUAUCUAGACCCCUAAUUGACUGAAAUGACUGUAUGACUGAUAUGAUUAAGCAUGAUGGCGUCCCACUGAUUUGAUACUGUAUGCCCUGUUUACAUGCAUGAUAUUAUGUUAUAGCAUGUCAUAUCUGUAUAUUGCAUUACAUUGGGUUGGGGGAUUAUAAUGUUCGGAGGAAGUGUACUGAAAGGCCUCGAGCCUAAUUUACUGGCAGCUUAGCUGCAAACUACUGUCUAGUGCCACAUUCGGUACUACUUGAAGUAUAGGGAUGGGUGGUUUGAUUAUAUCCCUACAUGGAGUGUAGGGUUGGACGGAGAUGGUGUGUAGAGGCUGGAUGGGUAGGAUUUUGGUGACUACAUAUCUGUUACUGCUACUGAUACUGUGAUGGGCUAAAGCCUUACUACAUGACUGUUUUUGUACUAAGAUGGGCUAAGGCCCAAACUGAACUGAUACUGAUACUGAAAAGGGCUUAAGCCCAGACUGUGAUUAUUUGUUUACUAUCUGUUCAUUUGUAUGGGGAUUACACAUUGAGUUUACGUAAACUCACCCCUUCUGUUUAAUCUGUAUAGGUAAUCCCUAGAUAUAGGCAGAUCGGUGCAGCGGAGGACUCAGUGGUGGCUACACGACUUCUUUUACAUUGUUUACUACUUGUUUAUGAUUUUACUUUUAUUUGGGAGUAUUUUGAUGUAAUUAUGACCUUUACGUAUUUUGGUUUAAAAUUUGGAUUUUAUACGGUUUUAUGAUUUAAAUCUGCUUAGUGUUAGGUAAAACUCAGGUUUUCAAAUGAAAUUAAUGUUUUAUCAAAAAUACCACGAAUAAACAAACUGUUUAAAAGCUUCUGCAUAGAAUAAACAUUUUGAAAACUUUCGACUGAUUAAUUAACACGACUUUAGAAAUAAUAAGUAGACUUUGAAAAGUUUUCUAAGUGAAAAAUGUUUUAAGCAAAGCUACGGUUUUCAAACACUACCAUGUGACAUUGCCAGAUUCGGCCAUAACGUCUAGGUCGGGUUUGGGGUUUUACAGUCUGUAACUGAAUCAGCUUCAGUUUUACUUUUAUUUGUUAACUCUUUGGUUUCUGGAUCAAUUGGUUCCUCUUGCUUGCCUUGGUUCAGCUCAUGCACUCCCUCUACUAACCUUUCAAGAUCAUGACUUGUGAUGCACCCUUGGACAUACUGCCCCUUCAGAUUUGCUUGUGUUUUAACACGGGCCCUUAAGCAAAGUGAAGUGAUUAAUGGUGGGAAAUAAGCACUUCCUGCCUUCUUUUUAGCACAAUCAUGAAUUUUCUUGAGUAUAACUUUCCCAACAUUAAUGGAAUUUUCUGUCAAAAUUGUAUAUAACAAGAGCAUUCAUUACAUCGAGAUGGUGAAACUAUGUUGUCGAAACCUCUUUUAAAUUUAUUUGAAAAAACGGGGAUCGACUUUAAAAAAUGAAAAUUGGAGUCGCCACCGAUCUUUAAUCAGGUGUGAUCAGAACACCUUGAAAAUGAUUUUAGGUCUACGAAUUUUGAGAAAACUGGUUCGAGAGUCGGUUACGCACGAAGAAGGAUUAACACCCUCGUGAUGCCCAAAAUUGGUACCGAAUUGAUUGCUUAAUGUCUUAGUGUUGAAAUUUUGAAAAGAUUUUAAAAUAUGAUCCUUUGAAGUUUAAAUUUGAAUAAACCAAAUUGAAUAAUGAGACGCACUCAUUUCGAGGAAAUAAAUUGCCACACUCAGUGAGUUAAGGUGAAGCAAUUCAAUCGUCAAAAUUAAAUAUGUCUUUUUAAUUUUUAAAUUUUAAAAUUCAUGUAUUUUGAGAAGGUUAUUUGGUCAUUUAAGUCAAACGAGAAAUCAGAAUCCAAUAAGUUAGGGUUCAAUUUCUCGAAAUUCCUAACAUCAAACAUUGCCUUUAUUUUAAAAUCCUUAACUCGAAGUAACAAAAUGUCAUAUCCAGUGAGUUAGGAUCCAACAAUUGAAAUCUCGAAAAACUUUAUUUAGAAAUCGUAUGGUUUUAUUGCAAUAGAAAUACUUGGCUAUCUAAAUUCAUUGAAAAAAAAUUGAAGCCCAGUAAGUUAGGGCACAAUACUCUCGAGAAUCGGGAAUACCAAGUAUUUUGAGAAUUUACGGAAUAAAAUGAUUUUAGUGCUUUAAUGAAACACAUUUUGUAAACAAAUGUAAUAUGAUUGAAUGGCAAUGUAUGAUGUAAAAGAUAAUCGUUUGAGCAAUAGAUAAAUGCAAACAAGGAUAGCAACAAUGAUUUAAAUCAUAUUAUACAAAUAUCAACAUCAAUAUUAAAACUAGAUAAAUCUAUCAUCAAUUUUAAAAGAUACGCCAAGACGAUAAAAAAUAAUAAAAACAAUAUGUCCUACGCAUAGAAAUUUUAAAAUAAAUUACAUGCAUAAACUCAAAAUAGACUUGAAAUAAAAUAAUAAUAACAUUUAAAAAUAGUAUUAAAAAAUAUUAGGUAAACAUUUAACAUAUAGAUAUACUAAAAUAAAUUUUAAGAUAUAACCUAAAACAAAACAUUAAAAUAUGUACAAAAUAAUAUCAGAUUAUUGUAAAUAUAUAUAUAUCAAUAAUAUCGUGUCAAGUUUGAAAAUAAAAAUAUAUAAUGGACCCUUUUUAAAAAAAUGUAUGAUAAAUUUAAAACAUGUUAAUUUGGAAUAUUAAAAUAAUAUUAGAAAUGAAAACUAAAUUUGUCAAAAUAAGAUCUAAUUUGAUUUAAAAUUAAACUAAUAAAAGUUUAGUUAAAAUUGAAACACAAUCAAAAGAAAAAUAAAAAUAAAAUAAAAUAAACUAGAGGAACGAAAAUUAAAUUGAAAUUAAAACAAAACUAAAUAGGCAAUAAACAUAAAUAAAAAUAAAAGAAAGACUAAAUUCGAACUUGAUGUAAAAACUGAGGGACCACAAUAGCAAAUAAACGCAUACUUCUGAAGAUUUUAAUCUUCUUGAUGGAAACAACGUCGUUUGCUUGCCGAUCAAAAUAGAAUCAGAAUAAAAUGUGCAAUAAGAUUUGAAUACAUUGAAGAGAAACUGAUUUGAAAUAGAAUACAAAGAAAAGGGACCUAAUGCAAAAUAAACCAUUUCUCAAGACGCGCGGAUCCUUCCCACGGAUCGGGUCACUGCUCGGGUAUGGCCAACACGUUGCCGUUUUGAAGUCAUGGAAGAAGACUUUAGACGGCGCCAUUUAAAUAAUCUGCCUAAAAUUUAAAAACCUAAUUGAUAUUAAACAAUCAUCUAAAAUAAAACUAACAAAACCUAAUCAAUUCUCUUUCUCUCUUGCGCUGCUCAGCCAACCAACGUUUGGAGGCCCCGAUUCCUCACUCACCUUCGAUUGCGACGGAGGGAGCAAAAGAUCAACCACCAGGUACACUCUUUGAUUUCUAACCUUCUAUUAUUGUAUUGAAUAGGGAACAAAAGAGCGAAGAACAAAAAAGGAAGAAAAAAAAGAAAAGCAAUCUAUUCACCUUUCAAUUUUUCUGAGUAUUUUUUCUUUUUGCAUUCAAUCUCUGUAAAAUGCGUAAAAAAAGAUCCAUUUUUACAAAUCUUGAUGGCUUUUAUAGCUAAAUUUUCAAAGAUGAAAAGAGAAUAAAAAAUACAAUGUUUUUCCUUUCUCUGCUACGCUAUUUUCGUCCCAUUUGCAGGUACGAAGGAGUGCAUACGUACGGAGGCGCGGUGACGUGGAGAGGACGCGUGGUGGUAUGGCUCAGCUACGUACGGAGGCUGGUCACGUGCGGAAGGCUUGGUAAGUGGCUAGCGGCGGCUGAGGCAGAUAGUUGUUUUAGGGUUUUAUUUUGAAAAUGUUUUAGGGCUAGGUAUGUGGGUCAAUGGUUUGGGCCUUUUUGGGCCGAUUGGUUAUUGUAAAUGGACUGCUAUUGGACUGUUGUUAAUUGUAAAUGGACUUUUAAUAUUUUUUACUUUUAUGUUGGUUUUAUUUAUUUUUUAGUGGUCCCGGGUCAAAAUUGGGCAUUACAGCUACCCUUAUUUGCUCAUUGUCGUGUAACGGGAAUGAAGCAAAGACUUUGAAAAUGGUCAAUUUUACCCGGUCAUGCUGGACCUUGGUGCUCCUCUUCAAGUAGCCUCAGUCCAUCCUAUUGUAUCUUUAGAGAUAUAGGAAUCGGUGCCUCGAUCCACUCCACUGCAAUGUCGGGGAGAUCAGAUUUGUAACUCAUAACUGUGAUGUCGGGGAAGCAAGAUUCGCCAUUGUAGCUUUAAUCUGUUCCGAUGCAUUAUCUGGGAAGUAAGAUUCACUGUUGUAGCUUUAAUAUUCUUGACUGCAAUGUCGGGGAAGCAAGAUUCGCCGUUGUGGCUUUAAUCUGCUCCACUACAUUAUCUGUGGGAUAAGGUCUGAAAUUCUUCGGUCUAUUCCACUGUAAUCUCAGGGAGAUAAGACCUGAUACGAUCUGCUUUACCGUAACUUCAGAGAGAAGAUCCUUUAUUUUAAUCUGCUCCACUGUAAUCUCAGGGAGAUAGGAUUACUAGCUUCAAUCUGCCCCGCUGUAAUCUCAGGGAGAUAAGAUCUAAAAUUUUUCGGUCUAUUCCAUUGUAAUCUUAGGGAGAUAAGACCUGAUGCAAUCUACUCUACUGUAACUUCAGAGAGAUAAGAUCCUUUAUUUCAAUCUGUUCCACUAUAAUCUUAGGGAAAUAGGAUUACUAGCUUCAAUCUACUCCGCAGUAAUCUCAGGGAGAUAAGAUUCACCAUUUUCGAUUAGCUCCACUAUUGCUUAGGGAGAUAAGAUCUGGAAUUCUUCGGUCUAUUCCACUGUAAUCUCAGGGAGAUAAGACCUGAUGUGAUCUACUCUACUGUAACUUCAGAGAGAUAAGAUCCUUUAUUUUAAUCCUCUCCACUGUAAUCUCAGGGAAUUAGGAUUAUUGGCUUCAAUCUACUCCGCUGUAAUCUCAGGGAGAUAAGACUCACCAUCUUCGAUUUGCUCCGCUAUUGCUCAGGGAGACAAGAUCUGUUAUAUUCACUGAUCUGUUCUCUGGAGAAUACGACCUGUACAAUGAACCUAAUUAUUCCUAAUGAUUAAGAUGGCAUGAUCAAAAUGUAUCAAAUGCUCCUAACUAGACAUGUGUGAAUGGUGUUUGCAUGAAUGCAGAAUUCUAUUUUUCUGAGAAUGACUCCGCUUUGUCAUUACACGAAUUUUAUUAAGGCUUUAACACUGACGUGCUUACAACGCCUUUUUGCUUAACCAGCUUUGUUGAAGAAACAUCUAGCCAGGUUGCCCCCAGUGUAAAUCUCAAAGUUUAAUCCAUUGGGGCGCAAAAAACCAUCAUUCUCCCACUGCAACACGAGGGUAGAAAUAUAUGUGGUUUUUAUCACAAUCCUCUCUUAUAACAAAUCAAGGAUAUAGGAUCUAAAAUUGUUUUGGUUCCCUACACCAUUCCCAGGGUGUCAUACCAAAUACUUAUGUGCAAAUGAAGGCUCUCUUCUCUGAGGUAACCUCUUUCUCUUGCCUGAUGAUUAUUGUUUGCUUGUUUAUUUAAACUUUGUCAUUAACCCGACAUCCUAUCAUUUUGUUCAAUCAAUGCAUUUGACAACAAAAUCCAAAGAGAAAGUCCAAAUUUAGACUCUUCGUUCUCAAAUUUCCAACCUUUAAAUUUGGUGUGUUCUAAACAAUAGUCCUGUUUCAGGCUCCUAUAUUAUUUAGAAACUUUUCAGAGUAAUAUGCAAAACUUCCUUUGUGAAAUUUUUAUUAGUCCAUUAAUCAUUAUUCCGAUGCAACAUGCUUGCAAAAAUGGUCAUAACAAUGGAUAAGAAUAAUGUUGGUUCUGGGCAUAGCUCAAAAUGAAUAAAUUAUCACAAAUAGUAAAGAAGGAUAAUAAAGGAAUUGAUUGGGAAUGUAUAUCUUGGAAAAGAAAAAAAUAUUCCAAGAACAACAAUUUCAAUAUAAAUAAUAGAAGAAUUGGGUGCCCCGAGGAUUGCAGCUUGAACUUCUCUGAACAAACUUUCUGAAGACCAUUUUGAGUUUGACAUGUGUUUAGGAGAUCUACAGUGCUUUUUCGAUGCCCCAAGAUAUCGCCUACCUUUCCCUGUUGAUUCAGGUAUAACAAGAUUACCACAUGCCCGAAGAUUCGAGUUUUUCUGAUCGCUUCAUGCCUCAUUUUGAUCAAUAUUUGAGCAACCAUUUUCGGGUUUUCAACUCAAAUCCCCUUUGGCCUAAGGUGCCCUUUGCGGGUUUUCUCCUUAGCCUCUCCAUUUUUACUUUUUCAUUUUUCAUUUUUCAUUUUUUUUUAAGAAUCAAAGUGCCCUUUGCGGGUUUUCACUUUGAUCCCUUUCCUUCAAGUGAAGUAUUUCUUGACUGAGUCUGAGUUUACAGGAUUUGGCAAGUUUUUUCCAUCCAUCUAACUUAGAAUCAAAGCUCUACCAGAAAAGGCCUUCUUUACGACUUAAGGACCCUCCGAAUUUGGCAUCCAUUUUCCUCUAAAUUCUUUUUGUAUAAGGAGAAUUUUCUUCAACACCAGAUCCCUUUCGGGGAAUUCUCUGGGACGAACCUUUUUGUUAUAGGCUCGCAUCAUCCGUUUUUGAUACAUAUGACCAUGUUGGAUGGCUUUUAACCUUUUCCCUUCUAUUAAGUUCAACUGGUCGUAUCGAGACUGAACCCAUUUUGCUUCAUCUAAUUUCAAUUCAGCUAAUACCUGAAGAGAAGGAAUCUCCACUUCAAUGGGUAAAACAGCUUCCAUCUCAUAAACCAGAGAAAAGGGUGUUGCCCCAGUAGAGGUCCUAGCAAAUGUUCGGUAAGCUAAGAGAGCAAAUGAUAGCUUUUCAUGCCAAUCCUUGUAGGUUUCAGUCAUUUUCCCCGCAAUUCUCUUAAUAUUCUUAUUGGCCGCUUCCACUGCACCAUUCAUUUUUGGGCGAUAUGGCGACGAGUUAUGGUGACUAAUCUUGAACUGACUACAAACUUCCGCUAUUGUGCUAUUAUUCAAAUUCAACACAUUUUCGGAUAUGAUUCUUUCAGGCAUUCCACUCGACAAAUGAUCUCCUUUUUUAAGAAUUUACUAACCGCCGAUUUCGUGACAUUUGAUAUGAAGCAGCUUCCACCCAUUUGGUAAAGUAAUCGAUGACCACAAAGAUGAAACGAUGCCCAUUUGAAGCCUUCGGUGAUAUUGGACCAAUAACAUCCAUGCCCCACAUGGAGAACGGCCAUGGAGCAGUCAUAACGUGUAGAGGUGAGGGAGGUACACGUAUCUUAUCUCCAUAAAUUUGACAUUUAUGACACUUCUUGGCAUAGCUAAUGCAAUCCCCUUCCAUAGUAGACCAAUAGUAUCCAAAUCUCAUGAUCUGUCUGGCCAUUGUAAAACCAUUUGCAUGAGUUCCGCAAAUGCCCUUAUGGACUUUUUCCAGGAUCUUUCUAGCCUCCACGGCAUCUACACAUCUUAACAGCACUUGAUCUUUCCCUCUCUUGUACAACACUUCCCCAUCUAAGACAUAUUCAAUGGCUAUUCUUCUCAGUGUUCUCUUGUCAUUUUCUGUCGCUUGAUCAGGGUAUUUUCGAUUUUUCACAUAUUGUAGUAUACUCUAAUACCAAGGGUGAUCAUUUUUUCCUUCCUCUUCAAUAUUGUAGCAAUGAGCCGGAACUUCAUAUAUGCUCAUCUAAAUAGGCUUCAUGAUUUCUAACUUGUUCACCUUAAUCAUCGAGGCUAGAGUAGCCAGUGCGUCAGCCAUCUCGUUUUCAUCUCGUGGAAGAUAACAGAAAGUGAUGUCAUCAAACUCGUCAAUCAAUUCAAGAACCAGCUCUUUAUAACUGAUCAACUUAGGGUCUCUGGUUUCCCAUUCUCCUUUGAGUUGGUAUAUCACCAAUGCGGAAUCUCCACACACUUUUAGCACUUUGAUUUUACGUUCAAUGGCCACACGAAUACCCAUAAUACAUGCUUCAUAUUCGGCCAUAUUUUUUGUGCAAUCGAAGUCUAACUUGCUAGCAACAGGAUAAUGAUCUCCAGUUGGGGAUACCAAGACUGCCCCAAUUCCAUUACCCAUAGCAUUUGAAGCUCCAUCGAAAUUUAACUUCCAUAUGUGGUCUAUUCGAGGGUUUUCUUCAGUGUUUGCCACAUACAUCAAGUCCUCAUUUGGAAAAUCGAAGUUCAAAGACUCAUAGUCUUCCAAGGCUCUGCUGGCUAGAAAAUCAGCUAUUGCACUUCCUUUUAUAGCCUUCUGACUUACAUAUACUAUGUCAAAUUCAGAGAGCAGAAUUUGCCAUCUAGCCAUUCUCCCAUUUAAAGCAAUUGAUUCCAUUAUAUACUUUAAAGGAUCCAACUUUGAAAUCAGCCAAGUCGUAUGAUACAACAUGUAUUGCCUUAGUCUUCGAGUUGUCCAAAUUAAAGCACAACACAACUUUUCAAUGGAUGAGUACUUCAUUUCACAAUCAGUGAAUUUCUUGCUGAGAUAGUAUAUUGCUCUUUCUUUCUUUCCUGUUUUGUCAUGUUGGCCCAAGACGCAUCCCAUGGAAUUGUCAAACACCGUUAGAUACAAUAUCAAUGGCCUAUCUAGACUAGGCGGUGAUAGUAUUGAAGCAUUAGCCAAGUAUUGCUUUAUCUUGUCAAAAGCUUUCUGACAUUCCUCAUCCCAUUCUCUCGGAUUAUGUUUCUUCAGAAGACGAAAUACUGGAUUGUAUUUCUCAGUCAAUUGUGAAAUGAACCGAGCAAUGUAGUUCAACCUUCCUAGGAAACCUCGGACCUCUUUCUGAGUGCUUGGAGGAGGCAGAUCUCGUAUUGCUUUAACUUUAUCCGGGUCAAUCUCAAUCCCCUUCCUACUGACUAUGAAGCCCAACAACUUUCCUGAUCUGGCUCCAAAUAUGCAUUUUGCUGGGUUGAGCUUAAGCUGAAAUUUUCUCAAUCUUAAGAAUAAUUUCCUCAAGACUCGGAGAUGAUCUUCUUCAGUUCUAGAUUUUGCAAUCAUAUCAUCAACAUAGAUCUCAAUUUCUUUAUGCAUCAUGUCAUGAAACAGGGCAUUACUUUGUAACAAAAUGUUCCCCAUAGGGUAAUGAAUGUGGUUUUCCUCAUAUCUUCAGGAUGCAACUUUAUUUGAUUGUAUCAAGAAAAGUCAUCCAUGAAAGAAAAUAAUGAGUAGCUAGCUGUAUUAUCUACCAAAGUAUCAAUGUGUGGCAACGAAAAAUUAUCUUUUGGGCUAGCCUUGUUCAAGUCCCUAUAAUCCACACACAUUCGUACCUUUCCAGCCUUUUUGGGAACAUGGACAAUAUUUGCUACCCAUUCUGAAUACCUGACCUCUUGUAAGAAUCCAACAUAUAACUGCUUUUUGACCUCCUCUUUUAUUUUCAACACAAUAUCAGGUCUCAUUCUUCUGAACUUCUGCUGAACUGGUUUACAAUCUUCUUUUAUAGGUAAACGAUGUACCACAAUGCUAGUAUUUAGCCCUGGCAUAUCCUGGUAUGGCCAUGCGAAAACAUCUUUGAACUCUCGGAGUAAUUUAAUGAGGUCAUGUUUUGUCUUUGUGGUGAUAUCAGUUCCGAUUUUCACCUCUUUUCCUUCCUCUAAGCUCACAAUUUCUAAUGAUUCCUUAUGAGGUAGGAUUUGUUUAUCCUCUUGUUCCACCAUUCUCAAAAAGUCCAGAGAUACACCACCGUCUUCGUCAUUUUCAAAGUCAUGAGAUCCUUCCAAACACAUGUCUUGCUCAAAAAAAGACUCUGUGUUUGAAACAGCAUCACUCAUGUCAUUGAUAUCUGAGGACUUAUAGGGAUACACCAAAGAAUAUACAAAAAUAUAUAAAUUUAUAAAUAAUUAUUUUUACAAUCAGGUUAUAAUGAAAAAAAAUCAUUUGGAAGACAAUCAAUCAAAUGGAAAAUAUUUACUUGCCUGGAAAAAAUAAAAGAAUAAUUGCUCGAAAUGAAUGCAAUGUAUUUUAUUAGAAUAAUGAUAUUCAGACUUAAGCCUAUUUCACAAAGGAUUUCUUAUCAUUCUUAGGCUAAAAACAACAAGAAUGUUUUGAACAUUACUCUGAAUAAGCUCUAAAGAAUACAGGUAUUUCUUCCGCAGUCCAAUUGUUUAGCUCACUCCCAGGUUCGUAAGGGCAAAUCUCCAACAUGGUCCUUAUUUCAGCUGUCUCUAUAGCAUUGAUAUGAACAUUUUCCAACAUCUCUUCAAUGCCUUCCCUUCUGGACACCCUUCGCUCAGGGUAAAUAAACCCACCCGACACAAAGGAUUUAGAUAUAUGGGGGAAAGUCAAAGGCUCCCACUUGACUUCCUCUCCGUUUAAACGUGCCCUUCUUCUCUCCUUCCUUUUCUCCACUUCUUUUCUCUUUUGUUUCAUAUCUAGCUUGUAACCUAAGCUAAAACGAUCAAACUUUUCCUUCAGCAUGGGUGCUUCAAUCCUUCCUUGAAGGUAUUUUCCCAACCCUUUCCCUGGCGAAGCUCCUCUUCCUACCAUCAAUUGUAGACCCAUCUCAGUAGUCUUGGAUAUCUUUGGUACUGGAAUUUUGUUUCCUUCAGCAAUAAACGUUGCGUUCACAAAUUCCAAGGACCGGAAAGAACAUUCCACUCCCUCAUCAUUGGUCUCUACAUAAGGUACAUCACGCGUUACCAUCGCAAUGAUAUCCUCCUCUGCACUUAUUGUUAUCAAUCGACCCUCUGAUAUUAGCUUCACCUUCUCAUGUAACGAUGAAGGUACUGCCCCUGCCGAGUGUAUCCACGGUCUCCCCAAUAAACAGUUGUAGGAAGGCUUAAUAUCCAUUACUAGAAAGUCCACCUCAUAAGUAGUUGGGCCAAUUCUUAAUGGUAUUUCAAUUCUUCCUAUAAACCCUCUUUCUGUUCCAUCAAAUGCCCUUACUAUAUUCUGGCAGACUUUCAUAUGUGAACUGUCCACAGGUAGUCGAUUAAGAGUGGACAAAGGCAAUACGUUCAAUGCGGAUCUAUUAUCGAUCAAAACCCCCGGUAAUGUGUCCCCCCGACAUCGGGUAGUAAUGUGUAGAGCUUUAGUAAAACCCCUACCUGCAGAUGGUAUUUCAUCAUCUUGAAGAAAAUAAAUUGUCAGCACUUAUAUUAUUGAUCAACCGAUCCAACUUAUUGACUGAAAUGUCAUUGGCCACAUAUGUUUCAUUUAGUACCUUCAUCAGUGCAUUUCGAUGUACUUCUGAGAUGAAGAGCAAAGCUAAUACUGAAAUACGGGCUGGCUAUUUGUGCAGUUGCUCCACAACACUGUAUUUGCUAUGUUUCAAGAACUUCAAGAAUUUCUUUGCUUCUUCUUCUUUUAUUGGUUCAUUAACCAAUGGCUAAGGUUCCGCUACCUUCCCUUUCCUCUGUUCUACUAUCAGAGUCUAUUCUCUUAGCAAUUCUACUUGAGUGUCAUAACGCUUCCCAUUACGUGUAUAAAAACCCCUUUCCUGAUAUUCUUUUACCAUAUUGCCCUCAACUUCUUUUCCUGGGAUUGUCACAUUGCAUCCGUAAUUCCAUUGGACCAUUUUGUCAUCCUUAUAUGUGAAACUUGACGGUUUGGUGAUUACAAUUUUUGGUGUUACCUGAACCCUAGCCUCAUUACUCUUAGGGCGUGAGAUAAUGACCACAAGAUGAUUUAUUUUCAGAGUCCCUAUCCCGACUCUGUCGCGUAUAUGCUCCUCCUUUCUUCCGCAUCUUCAUAGAACCUCAUCUCCUUGUUAUCCAUCAUGCUUUGAACCAAAGCCCUGAAUCCUUCACAUUCUUGGAUUUCGUGCCCUAUUUUAUGGUGGAAUUCACAAUAAUUUCCCAUCUCAUACCCUUCCUUAAAAUCUAAAAUAACUAACCCUCUUUUUGCCAUCUCUUUCUAGACCCGUUUCAAUGGAGUUUUUACUUCAGCAAUGUCAGUCUUGACUUCUUCCCCCGUACCUUCGCUCAACAUAUUCACUCCCUUAUCAUCAUGAUUAGGCAACAGAAUUUCUGUGUUGGGUGAGUCAUCAAAUUUGACAACACCCAAUUUGAUAAGUCCUUCCACUACCUUCUUGAAAGCAGUACAAUUUUCUGUUGAGUGUCCUAAAAUUCCCGCAUGAUAGUCACAUUGCGUGUUCGUGUCAUACCAUUUUUGAUAUGGGGGUUGUAGAGGACUCAAGUAACGAGGAGCAACAACAUGUGCAUUAAAUAAAUUCUGGUACAACUCUUUAUAUGUCAUUGGAAUGGGAGUGAACUAGGGCUUCUCAGUAUUUUGCCUCAUUCCCGAUUCUUGUUUCGAUGAGCCUUGUUGAUUAGCAACCAUCUUCCUUGGUUGAUUCACUGUAAUUGAUUUGCUGUAUGCAUUCACAUUGUUUACUUCACUUUCUCUUUUCUUUGGAACUGGCCUUCAAUUAUUCUCUCCACCAUCUAUUUUUCCACUUUUAAUAGCAUGUUCAAUCAUUUUUCCAUUCAUGAUUAUAUCCGAGAAACUCUUUGAGGCACUUCCUAACAUGUGCGUGAUAAACGGUGCCUUCAAUGUGUUGAUGAAAAGCAUCGUCAUUUCUUUUUCCAAAAGUGGUGGCUGAACUUGAACUGCAAUCUCUCUCCACCUGUGUGCAUACUAUCUAAAACUGUCAUUUGAUUUCUUUUCCAAGUUCUGCAAAGUGAUUCUAUCAGGCAUUAUUUCAGAUACAUGACUGUACUGCCUCAUAAAAGCCUGCGUCAAAUCCUUUCAACUGCUGAUUUUGGUCCAGCUCAAUUGGUUAUACCAUUUAGAUGCCGCCCCAAUGAGGCUAUCCUGAAAACAAUGUAUUAAUAGCUGAUCAUUGUUAAUGUACCUAGUCAUUCUCCUACAGAACAUUGUAAUAUGGGUUUUAGGGCAACUGGUCCCACUAUAUUUCUCAAAUUUUGGCAUCUUAAACUUGUAAGGAAGUACCAAAUCCAGAACCAGACUCAGAUCUUUUGCAUCUAUUCCAUGAUAACGUUCAAUGUUUUCUACUGCCUUAAACUUCUCUUCAAUCCAUUUCCAUUUCUCCUCAAACUGUUUUGGUAAUUCUUCAUUUUCUUUAUCCUUCUCAGCUACUUCAUCGAAAUCCGGGACAGCAAGAUUAAUCGGGUUCUCACCAGGGUUAGAACCUGAUCCAGCUUGGGAGUUCAUCGGUAUUGGAAUAUCGGCUUGAAACCGCUGAGGCCUUAUUGAAACAGAGGAUCUACGCGGAUGCACCUCAGUCUUAACCUGCGCAUGCGGAGGCGUAAAGCCUGGAGGAUAGGUGGGUCCAUUCUUGUCUUCUUCUUCAUCAUUAAUCAUAGGACUUUUCCCCUUAUUUAUUUCUUUUAGUAAUUGCGUCAGCUCAGUCAUCAUGUCCUUUUGAGACUCUAGCAUCCUUUCUGUCAUGUCAUGUUGAAUUUUUUCCAGUUGCUCAUUCAUUUGCAUCUGUAACUGAUCUUGCAUUUCCUUUUGAAGUCAUUCCAACUUUUCCAAUUUUUGAUCCAUAAUUUUUUAUUUUGCACGGGUACCGUAGCGGUGCUUGUUUGACGAGUUUUUGUUGGUUUCAAGAUCCGUUGCCUACAGCCUUGUAAUGCGUACUCCAAUUCUUCUAUCCUCUUUUUCAUUUCUUCAAUAUUGCACAGACUUGUCUUUAAUUCCACUACAGAAUUACGACUUCUAUACGAAGCAAGUGAUCUCUCGAGUUCUGCUAUUCUAGCUUUUAAGUCCGCUUGAUAGUUUUGAGUUUCUGACACCUGCCGUUCUAAGGUCUCUUUCUGAACUUGAGCCUCCCGAGACUUUCUUUCCCACCGAUCGGCUUUGUCUCUUUCUUCCUGGAUCUCCUGUUGCCUCUGCUUCGAAGUCUUUCCCAACCUAGCAGUUCUCAUUGAUAGUCGUAGCUUUUUGUACUCUGUCUAUAAGCUAUCUAGAUCCUCCUCGACUUUAUUCUUCCUUUUUUUUAAUUUUUCAGCUUCUAACUUUUGGACGUCAACGUCUAGCCUCAAAUGCAUCUUUUCUUCUUCCAACUGCUCUAUUUUCUUUUCGAGUUCUAAAUUCCUAUUUAUAAAAUAUUGUUUUAUAAUCUCUAACUCUGAUGGGAUCACUUGUAGGUACUCUUCCAUUGGUCGAACACCCUCCGAGUUCAACUCCGGAAUGUUAUCAUUAAUUCUUUUACCUCGCCACUCACCAUACUCUGGAGUUGUCAUCGAACCCACAGCUAGCCUUUUCAUCCUAUGAACCUGAUUCCAAGCCUAAGAAAUUUCUUUCACCUUUUUCUUGUAAUUGUCUCAUCGAUAUGAGAACUCACAUUGAGCUAAACCAUACGUUGCUGGCACAAACUGUCUUGAACUGUAUUGCCUUAGGACCAGCAAAGGUGCAGACCCGAUGGCUCCCCAAAUCCCAAGCAACGGAACCCAGUCAAAGCUUCCACAACCGUAGAGAAUUCCAUCAGGAAUCAACCAAGGAGCUCUCCAUUCCACGUCAUCCUCUUGAAGAUUUUGCAGAAUUGCUAUCCAAUUUUCUUCUAAUAUGUCGUCCCUUCUUGGCGUAGCCACUAUCUCUUUUAAAGGGGAGUAAUGCCCAGAGAAAACCCGAUACGAAACUUUUUCGACCUUCCAGAAAUGACUAUGGAACCAAGCUAUCAACAAUUGCGCACAACCUAUAAAUUUUCCUUCACCAGCUCGCCUACACGCAUUCAAAGAUCUAAACGUUUCAGCCAAAAUCACAGGAACAGGCGUGACCCCUUUACCCAACCGAUCAAAGAGAUCUAAAACCGCUUCGUCAACAUGCCCCAAUGCUCUAGGGAAAAUCACUAACCCGUAGAUACUCAAAGCAAACACAUCGACCUUCUUUUUCCCAUCAGGAUGUGCUAGGAUCAAGUCUUGCAAAUUCGUCCAUGGGAUACAUUUACACUCGCCCUUCUGUUUGAUCCUGGCCGUGAUCCAUUUUUCGUUUAUUCCCGUAAUACUCAUUAAUUUCUUCCAAAACACUAGGACAUAUGCGGCUCUGAAAUAUGCUUUAUCAACCUGAAGCCUAGGGCAGUGCAGUAAAGUUGUAUAUUCCUCCACUUUGGAACCAAAUCUACGUUCCCAAAAGUAAAACAGCUAUAUGCAGGAUUCUAAUAUUGAGCGAGAGCGUGAAACAAUCGUUCAUCACCUUAAUGUUAAGUAAGUACGGCAAGUCCCCAUAAUUAGAGUAGAACAACUGCUUGGUUUCAUCAUUCCACCAAUCCCAAAUCUCAUUUAACUACUGAAGGCUAUUUUGCGUCACACUAAAACGAGUGUAGUCCCAAAAAUCUGACACAUAUCCCUUAGCUAAAUUGUCUCCUUUCUCCAAUUGCACCUUCUCUGACCAUAUACGGACAAUGGCAUUGUCUUCCACUUUAUCAAGAAAUUCUUUUUCCAUGACAAUUUUCUAAUUUAGUAACUGAACUUGAAUCGACACUCUUUGAGAUAUGCAGUGACAUGCAAAAAUAUCAACAAAACACAAACAAGUCAGUACAACACAAAACAAAAUUCAAAGCAAGUAUAAGAAAAUCAAGCACCUAUUUGGACAAUCGCUAGAGUUUGGAGUAGUUCUACCUGGGUUAGGUUCCUAAGUCCACUAUAUGGAGUUUGGUUCUAAAGUUAAGGUACCCGAACUAGCAGAUUCCUUAUCUUCACCCAUUAUAGGCUCAUGCAGACCGAGUUCGGUUCAGGGGAAUACAUUUCCCUAUCGCUGCACGGAGAUGAAAAUCUCACGAAGACAUAGGUACGGAUGUAUCCCGAAAGUGAUCCACUAUCCUGUACGGAGGUGAAAACCUCACGAAGGAGUAGCUUUUCACUCCCAUUUAGAGGGGUAAGACCAAAAUAGCCUUUAUGCAAUAUGAUGCGAAGAUUUUUACAAAACUCAACCUACAAUAAUCAUACAAAUCAAAUUCAAAGAAAGGAUCGAAAUUUUUCAAAUCAAAUUUUCAAUUUUCGACGAUAAGACAAUUAAUUUUACGGCUUGACUCUCUAAAUCGAUUCCCCAGUGGAGUCGCCAAGCUGUCGAAAUCUCUUUUAAAUUUAUUUGAAAAAACGGGGAUCGACUUUAAAAAAUGAAAAUUGGAGUCGCUACCGAUCUUUAAUGAGGUGUGAUCGGAUCACCUUGAAAAUGAUUUUAGGUCUACGAAUUUUGAGAAAACUGGUUCGGGAGUCAGUUACACACGAGGAAGGAUUAGCACCCUCGUGACGCCCAAAAUUGGUACCGAAUUGAUUGUUUAAUGUCUUAGUGUCGAAAUUUUGAAAAGAUUUUAAAAUACGAUCCUUUGAAGUUUAAAUUUGAAUAAACCAAAUUGAAUAAUGAGACGCACUCAUUUCGAGGAAAUAAAUUGCCACACUCUGUGAGUUAGGUGCAGCAAUUCAAUCGUCAAAAUUAAGUAUGUCUUUUAAUUUUUAAAUUUUAAAAUUCAUGUAUUUUGAGAAGGUUAUUUGGUCAUUUAAGUCAAACGAGAAUUCAAAAUCCAAUAAGUUAGGGUUCAAUUUCUCGAAAUUCCUAAACAUCAAACAUUGCCUUUAUUUUAAAAUCCUUAACUCAAAGUAACAAAAUGUCAUAUCCAGUGAGUUAGGAUCCAACAAUUGAAAUCUCGAAAAACUUUAUUUAGACAUCGUAUGGUUUUAUUGCAAAAGAAAUACUUGGCUAUCUAAAUUCAUCAAAAAAAAUUGAAGCCCAAUAAGUUAGGGCACAAUACUCUCGAGAAUCGGGAAUACCAAGUAUUUUGAGAAUUUACGGAAUAAAAUGAUUUUAGUGCUUUAAUGAAACACAUUUUUUAAACAAAUGUAAUAUGAUUGAAUGACAAUGUAUGAUGUAAAAGAUAAUCGCAUGAGCAAUAGAUAAAUGCAAACAAGGAUAGCAACAAUGAUUUAAAUCAUAUUAUAGAAAUAUCAACAUCAAUAUUAAAACUAGAUAAAUCUAUGAUCAAUUUUAAAAGAUACGCCAAGAUGAUAAAAAAUCAUAAAAACAAUAUGUCCUACGCAUAGAAAUUUUAAAAUAAAUUACAUACAUAAACUCAAAAUAGACUUGAAAUAAAAUAAUAAUAACAUUUAAAAUAGUAUUAAAAAAUAUUAGGUAAACAUUUAACAUAUCGAUAUACUAAAAUAAAUUUUAAGAUAUAACCUAAAACAAAACAUUAAAAUAUGUACAAACUAUAUCAGAUUAUUGUAAAAAUAUAUAUAUCAAUAAUAUCGUGUCAAGUUUGAAAAUAAAAAUAUAUAAUGGACCCUUUUUUAAAAAAAAUAAUGUAUGAUAAAUUUAAAACAUGUUAAUUUGGAAUAUUAAAAUAAUAUUAGAAAUAAAAACUAAAUUUGUCAAAAUAAGAACUAAUUUGAUUUAAAAUUAAACUAAUAAAAGUUUAGUUAAAAUUGAAACACAAUCAAAAGAAAAAUAAAACAAAAAUAAAAUAAACUAGAGGAACGAAAAUUAAAUUGAAAUUAAAACAAAACUAAAUAGGCAAUAAACAUAAAUAAGAAUAAAAGAAAGACUAAAUUCGAACUUGAUUUAAAAACUGAGGGACCACAACAGCAAAUAAACGCAUACUUCUGAAGAUUUUAAUCUUAUUGAUGGAAACGACGUCGUUUGCUUGCGGAUCAAAAUAGAAUUAGAAUAAAAUGUGCAGUAAGAUUUGAAUACCUUGAAGAGAAACUGAUUUGAAAUAGAAUACAAAGAAAAGGGACCUAAUGCGAAAUAAACCAUUUCUCAAGACGCGCGGAUCCUUCCCACGAAUUUGGUCACCGCUCGGGUAUGGCCAACACGUUGCCGUUUAGAAGUCAUGGAAGAAGACUUUAGACGGCGCCGUUUAAAUAAUCUGCAUAAAAUCUAAAAACCUAACUGAUAUUAAACAAUCAUCUAAAAUAAAACUAACAAAAACCUAAUCAAUUCUCUUUCUCUCUUGCGUCGCUCAGCCAACCAACGUUUGGAGGCCCCGAUUCCUCACUCGCCUCCGAUUGCGACGGAGGGAGCAAAAGAUCAACCACCAGGUACACUUUUUGCUUUCUAACCUUCCAUUAUUGUAUUGAAUAGGGAACAAAAGAGCAAAGAACAGAAAAGGAAGAAAGGAAAAGAAAAAAAAUCUAUUCACCUUUCAAUUUUUCUGAGUAUUUUUUCUUUUUGCAUUCAAUCUCUGUAAAAUGCGUUAAAAAAAAAAGAUCCAUUUUUACAAAUAUUGAUGGCUUUUAUAGCCAAAUUUUCAAAGAUGAAAAGAGAAUAAAAAUACAAUGUUUUUCCUUUCUCUGCUGCGCUGUUUUCGUCCCAUUUGCAGGUACGGAGGAGUGCAUAUGUACGGAGGAGCGGUGACCUGGAGAGGACGCGUGGUGGUAUGGCUCGGCUACGUACGGAGGCUGGUCAUGCGCGGAAGGCUUGGUACGUGACUAGCGGUGGCUGAGGCAAAUAGUGGUUUUAGGGUUUUGUUUUGAAAAUGUUUUAGGGCUACGUAUGUGGGUCAAUGGUUUGGGCCUUAUUGGGCCGAUUGGUUAUUGUAAAUGGACUGCUAUUGGACUGUUGUUAAUUGUAAAUGGGCUUUUAAUAUUUUUUUCUUUUAUGUUGGUUUUAUUUAUUUUUUAGUGGGCCUGGGUCAAAAUUGGGCAUUACAUGUGAGAUAGACAUAAAACUGUAGCGAACAAAAUAAAACCAUACCUUUGCUACUGGUUUUAAAUAUUUAUAAUGACAAGAAUGGCUUCUAUACUUUCUUAUAAUCCAUUGGGAUCCCGGAUUUGUCACAACAUUAAGCACUUGUUGAAAAAAAUCUCAUUUGAUAUUGUUCAUCAUAGGGUAGUACUCAUCUUCCUCAACAUCAGGUAAAUUAAACAAAACAUUGAUGGACUUAGAAGUAAGAGAUACCUUUUUCUUUCAAACGAUGACUUCAAUAGCAUCUUGUGUAGUCAAUCUAGUAUAGAAUUCUCAAACUAGUUCAUCAUCGGGAAGUGAACGAGCAUCAAAGAAUCGUUCCCACUUAGAGCAUUGAUUAUCUUUAUAAUUGGCACAGGGACAACCAUCACAUCAUUGCUCUUCAGGUUAAAACAUUUUUCCGGCAUCAUAUGUUGAUGCUUGAAAAUUGAAUCAAAUAGCUCUUUCACUUCUUCAUCGAUCAAAAUCUAGUUUUCAGAAGUAGUUUUUAACGAUCUAGUUCUUUUGCGAGGCAUGGUAUUUUCCCGAAAAUUUGGCAAAGUUUUUGCUUGCAGAGGUAAAAGAGGGUGGAUCUUGCUUCGACAAAGCUUACGAUGGUGAAGGUGUUGUGGCGGCGACAAAUACGUGCGGCAGCAAUAGUGGUAUGCGGUGGCAAUAAUGAUUGCAUGCGGCAGCGACGUCGAUGCUUCGGCAAUUCUCUUGUGGCGGCACUAGGUAGUUUCAGCCAAAGAAAAGAAAAAGGGCUAGAGAUUCCUUUUGGGAUCUGAGGCUAGUGGCACAAAAAGAGAGAUUUUAAGGAAUUUUAGGGUGUAAGUAAAUUACUUUGAGGGAUAUGAAAAUUUAGUAGAAUAAGGAGGGGUUUAUAUAGGAAAAUAUUAGGGCAACAUGUAGCAAAAAAAUUAGCUAAAUUAAAGUUACUUGGGCGGCAAGUAAUGGGUGUGACGGCAAGGGUUAAAUUUUCCCUCCUUUUUGCUAUCUUGGGCCUCAAACUCAGACUGUAUCUCACUAAAAAAUAAAUUAUUAGUACUUGGGCCAAAUUUUGACCCCCUUUAUUAACAUAAAAAUUUAAAAUUUAACAAAAUAAUUUAAACUAGAAAAACAUUUUAAAACCUAAUUAGAAGAUCUCUUCUUAACAAAUUACAUUAAAUUAAUUCUCAGGAAAGGUUGGAGGGGUCAGAGCGGUCCCACUUAAGUUUCAAUCUCCUUAGACAGAAUUAAUUAAAUGAACUUAAUUAAGAAAAAUAAAUUCUAAUUAUUUAUUUAUUUACAAGACGAGUUUAUGAAAAAUCAAGGGUCUGUUAAUUUGAACGAAAAUUCAACUCGCUCAACUUCACCAUCCUAGUAGUGUUUGAGACAUUGACCAUUAACUUUAAACGUACCUCCGUAAUUGUCGUAUAAUUCAAUAGCUCCAUAAGGAUAAACUCGGUGGAUGGUAUAAGGUCCUUUCCAUUGGGAUUCCAUCUUCCCAAGAAAUAACUUCAGCAUUGAAUUAAACAAUAACACCUUCUGACCUUCUUUAAACUCGCGAGGUUGUAUAUGACUAUCAUGCCAUCUUUUUUAUCUUUCUUUACACAUUUUGAAAUUCUAAUAGGAAAGAAACCUUAGCUCUUCCAACUCAUCAAGUUGAAACAUCCUUCUCUCACCGGCUUGCUUAAGAUCAAAAUUUAACUACUUCAAAGCCCAGUGAGCUUUAUUCUCCAAUUCUAAUGGAAAAUGACAUGCCUUUCCAAAAACUAACCGAUAAGGAGUCAUUCCUAAUGGAGUCUUGAAUGUUGUUUGAUAGGCCCAUAAUGCAUCAUCGAGCCUUCGAUACCAAUCUUUUCUGUUAGGGCAUACUACCUUUUCAAAGAUACCUUUGAUUUCACGGUUCACUCUUUCAACUUGUCCAUUAGACUGGGGGUGAUAAGCAGUAGCAAUCUUGUGCUUCACAUCAUAUUUGUCAAGCAACCACUUAAGCUAUUUGUUCACAAAGUGAGAACUUUCAUCACUAAUAAUAGCUCUUGGUAUCCCAAAUCGUGUAAACACAUGCUUAUGUAGGAAUUGCAUGACUACCUUAGCAUCAUUUGUAGGGUAUGCUUCAGCUUCAACCCACUUGGAUACAUAGUCCACAGCAACUAAGAUGUAUUUGUUCCCAUAUGAAGAAGGAAAUGGGCCUAAGAAGUCAAUGCCCCAUAUGUCGAACAAUUCAAUCUCUAAAAUGUUUGUCAAGGGCAUCUCAUUCAUCCUUGAUAUAUUUUCGGUUCCUUGGCACUUAUCACAGUUCUUCACAUAAGCGUAAGCAUCUUUAAAUAGUGUAGGUCAAAAGAAACCUGCUUGCAAAAUCUUUGCUGCAGUACGUGAACUACCAAAGUGUCCCUCACUUGGAGAUGAAUGGCAAUGAUAUAAGAUCUCAGCAAUCUCACUUUCAGCUACACACUUUCGGAUUAUAUUAUCUGCACACUGUUUAAAUAAAAACAGAUCCUCCCAAAAAUAAUACCGACUAUCAUGAAGGAAUUUCUUCUUUUAUUGGUAUGUCAUUUCUCGAGGAAUUAUUCCACAUGCAAGAUAAUUGGAAAAAUCAGCAAACCAGGGUAUUUCAUGAAUUCGAGUUACCUCAAAUAAGUGCUCAUCUGGGAAAUUCUCGUUGAUAGGCAUACCAGACUGGGUUACCUUAUCUUGCUCCAACCUCGACAGAUGAUCAGCUACUUGAUUUUUGAUACCUUUUCUAUCUUGGAUCUCAAGGUCAAAUUCUUGGAGUAAAAGUAUACAACGAAUUAGCCUUGGUUUUGCAUAUUUCUUCGUGAGCAAGUAUUUAAUGGUUGCAUGGUCAGUAAAUACUGUAACUUUGGUACCAAUAAGAUAUGAACAGAAUUUGUCAAAAGUAAAAACUAUAGCAAAUAGUUCCUUUUUAAUUACCGUAUAAUUGAGUUGGGCUCCCGUCAAGGUUCUACUUACAUAGUAAAUGGGGUGGAAUACUUUAUUUCUUCUUUGACCCAUCACAACUCCAAUAGCAUAAUCACUUGCAUUGCACAUCAACUCAAAAGAUGAGUUCCAAUUAAGUGUAACGAUUAUUGGGGUUGUAAUUAACCGAUUCUUUAGAUCUUCAAAAGCUUCCAAACAUGCUUUGUUGAAAUUGAACAUUGUAUCUUUCUCUAACAACAAACAAAGCGGCUUAAAAAUUUUCGAGAAAUCCUUGAUAAACCUUCGAUAAAAACUGGCAUGGCCUAAGAAACUUAUGACUCCUUUCACAUUAAUAGGGGCCGGUAAUCUUUCAAUUACGUCCACCUUUGCUUUGUCAACUUAAAUUUCUUUCUUGAGAACUUGUGACCUAAGACAAUUCCUUCAUUGACCAUAAAAUGGCAUUUUUCCCAAUUAAGGACAAGAUUCGUCUCUUCGCAUCUCUUUAGUACCUUAGCCAAAUUACUCAAACAGAUAUCAUAAGUGUUACCAAAAACAAAAAAAUCAUCCAUGAAAACCUCGACGAAAUUUUUGACCAUAUCAGUAAAUAUUACCAUCAUGCAUCGUUGAAAAGUUGCAGGUGCAUUGCAUAAACCAAAAGGCAUGCACCUAAAAGCAAACGCACCAUACGGACAAGUAAAGGUUAUUUUAUGUUGGUCCUCCGGGGCUACAACUAUUUGGUUAUAUCCCUAAUAGUCAUCUAAAAAAAUAAUAGAAUUCAUUACCUGUCAGUCGAUCUAACAUCUGAUCCAUAAAAGGCAACGAAACUAUGCAGAUAACAGAUUUUGGUUAGGAUUGUUAUGCAACCUGCAAUUUAAUCAGGUUAGGAUCUAAAUUGAGCAUGCACAUUUCAAUUAUGCGUCCAUUAGCCGUCGUCUGGUUAGGAUCGCUCAGCUAAUUCACGUGCAUUUCAAUCUAAAAACUAUAUAGAUAACAGGUGCAUUAGCCGUCCCUUGAGCUUUUGUCACACUUCUUCUCUGCACUCAAUGAAACAAAACACAACAUAAAAAUAUAAGCACCAUUUCUUUUAUUACUUUUUCUACUAAAAUGAGUUUUUUUUUCUCGUAAAAAACCUAGGAUGGGGAGAGGGUUUUAAAAUUCAAAGCCUUUGAAAUAUAUGAGUUUGAGGUUGUUAAUAUUAUUUUAUAUUGUUGAAUAGUAAAUUAAUUGUAUUGGUGGUUUAACCUAUUGGAUCGAGAAUUAAUGAUUUGAUUGAUUUGAGUUUGGGCUGCUCACUAUCUUGACUGCAUUUAUCAUUUAAUUCUUUUUUUAAUUAGCCAAACUCAUGUUAACAAUGGUAUAACAGUAAUUAAUGACUUCAUGGACAGAACAUCAAUAUAUAAAUACACAAACAAAUAUAAUGGGAAUUGGAGAACUCCCAUUUAUACAAACAAAUAUAAGUGGGCAAAUUCAAUACUCAUAAUAAAUACACAAAGAUAACUAAAAACAUUAUUAAACCAGAUCCAGUAUGCAGCAUACAAGAAAAAGGGGGUAUUUCAAGGAGUAGAACGAGAAGGUGGUGGAGAAAAGGAAGGAAUAGAGGGAACUGCAGUUGGGAUUGAGGGAAUGCUUGGCAGAGGCGGCAGUCCUCUUGGCAAUGUGGUAGGAAGUGGAGGAAGCGCCCCAGGGUUUGUGAGAUUAGGGAUAGAUGGCAAUGGCGGAAAAGAGAAAGGAAUAGGGGGAAUUGCAGUUGGGAUUGUGGGGACUGAGGGAAUGCUUGGCAGAGGGGGCAGUCCUGUUGGGAAUGUGGUAGGAAGUGGAGGAAGCGCCCCAGGCCAUGAGAAUGAUGGUCGGGAUGGCGUUGGGAGAUUAGGGAAAGAUGGUAAACUUUGCGUUCGAGGCUGCUGCAGAAGGUGACGAGCUGCUACCCCAACAUCAAUGCUUGCAAAUGACAAAGCAAUCAAGAAUGCUAAAGCAAAGCAAUUGAAAGAGGCCAUUUUUGUUCAAAGAUUUCGAAACAAAUGAAGCAGAUGAAACGAAGUUCUUUAUCUGAAUAGUUGUGAGUGAGGAAAACAAAGCAUGGUAUUGAGGUUUAUAUAGGCAUUGGAGUAGUGAAUAGAAAUCCCCUGCCCCUAAACAAUGCCCCAUGCAUGCCCCCAAACCAAAAUAGCGCCACAUGUUUUUUAUUUUUUCCAUUUUAAUUGUAGUUCAUUUUUAAAAUAAAAAAUUUAUAGUGAUUUGAAUUAAUUUUUAACUUAUUAUCAACGUUUUUAUUUUUGUUUUAUUUUUAUUUUACAUUAAUUUUACCUAUUCUUUAAUUAACAAAUUUAUAAUGACUUAGAGUUUAUCUAAUAGAGUUUUUUUUUUAUAAUCGGUCUUAUGAUAAAAUUUUAUAAGGUGGGAACAAGUCCCACAGUGACAACAUGAUCCUUCAAUUUUUGGUGGUGGCAUGCCUUUAGUCAAAGGAUCAGCCAACAUCUGCUCAAUGCUAAUGUGCUCAAUGACCAAUUUCUUGUCUUUAACAUGUUUCCUUAUGCCUAGGUACUUAAAGUCGAUAUGUUUACUUCAACUUCCACUUUUUUCGUUCUUAGCCAUAAAGACAGCAGUUGAAUUGUCACAAUAUAUGAAAUAAUCAAAACCCAUAAUGACUCAGCCUAAAAAUCUCGAGCUUCAAACCCAAAUUAAAUUAAAUCAAAACCAUAAUUUAUUAUGUACAAUUGCACAAAAUUAACAUAAUUUAAGUGUGUCAUAGUGCGCGUUAAAUUAAAGUUUACGUUUGACAUUAUAGAUAAUAUUCACGUGUAAAAUUUUGAGAUUUAUUCCCUUAAUUAAUGUAAUAUGUCAAAUAGAAUACUUGAACAAUCCUCCAUGUUGGCAAAGUUUAUGUUAAGUAGUAGAAGCGAACUAAAUAAUGAGAAUAAAUCUAAAGUAUGGCAUACAUAUAAUUUAUUCACAAUGUGACUUAAACUUUGUCCUUCAAGAUUUCACGGUCUCAAUUUAUGUCUUAAAUUUUUAAGAUCAUUUUAGGUUUGUUAAAAAAUUAAAAGUUUAGAAAGUUAGAAUUGUUGCUUGAGGCGUGAAUAUCCCUAUUCUUUAGGAUAUUUGUGGAUUUACCAUCUCUCAGGAUUUCUUUUGUAUCAUGCACAAUGAAAAAAUUGAAAAAAAAAUUUCCCAUUUGAAUGGAAUUGAGCUAUUAGGCUCAAGCCUCGUGUGCGCAUAUAUAUUCUCUUAUUUUGAGUCUUACAAGUUUAUAGUAAACCAAAUCUAUAUAAACAUCAUUUAAUAGGUCAAUCUAAAAUAUGUUUAAUAUGUGUAAUUCUUUAAAAUAGAUGAAAACUUCAAAUAUGGUUUAGGUCAUUUUCAGAUUUGUCUUAUUUUAGGUUCAAAUUAUUCGAAUUUGAGGCUACGUUUUUCAUGUCUAAUCAUUAUUGAUCCGAAUCAUUUUAGAUUUUGAUCAUUUUAAGUUCCAAUUAUUUUGUGAUCAAAUCAUUUCAAGUUUUGAUAAAUUUGGGUCGAUUCGAAUUUGACUUAAUUACGUAGUUAACUUUUUUUAUACUGAACUGAGCUGAAUGAAAGUUAGAUUGGAAUUUAUUUAGUGUGCCUUUGUGUUUAAGUCGAAAUUUAAACAUCUCCCUUCAAAAUAAACAAUUUAAGACAAUUUUAUUUUAAAGACAAUAAUACAACAUAGUUGAUUUGGGAGAUAAACAUGUUAAUUUUUUAAUCCCAACCAAAAUUGUACAUAAUUCUUUUAUGCCAUAUUAAAUACAUGCAACGUCUUAUAAAAAUUGUAAAUAAAUUAUGCCUAGCGACAACGUUAUUCAACUCUAAUUUCAUGGUUAAUACCUAUUUCUAUUUUUCUUCUACUGUCUUCAGCUUUAAAUAUAAAGGGAUUGAAAUUUUAAGAAUUGAGAUUUCUUUUCUCUGUAUUAGUGGACGUUUGAUUUUUUGUUUGAUUGUUUUUUUUACUGGAAUUGGCACAUAUCUUUUCAGAUUUAUCAAUAUUUUUUUAAAUUUAUUUAAGAUAUGUAUAUCAAUAUAUUACAAAUAUAAAAUAAAUGAAACUAAAUACAUUUCAAAUAUAAAAUAUUUAUUAAUAAACUGAACAAAUAAAAAUUUAUCAUUCUAAUAAAUCCAAAAUUAUUAAUAACAAUCCAUCAUUUAAUAUGAAAUUUUAUGGAUUUAGCUCAUUUACUUAAUAAAAGAAGCUGAAAGGUGGACGAAUAUAUUUUUUCUUUGAUAAUCGGGUGAACGGUUUUUUCUUAAUUAUAUUUUGAAUGUGAAAGUGUAUUCCAUUUUUUAAAAAACUUUACAUUCUGAUGUAACAUUUUUAAUUAGCCACGUUUCAAUUAAGUUUUUGGCAUAAUAGUAAAUAAUUAAAAGUUUAAUAUUUUUAAUGUUAUUCAUCCACAGGACUGUGCAUUAUGUUCUGGCAAGUGUGACAGGAAUUGAUCGGAAUGAGUUGGUGCAAUUUGUACGGACCGAAAUUUUCACCAGUGUAGAAAAAGUGUGUUGGGUGUUUUGCAAUGUUAUUGAAACCAAACUAAACAGACCAAGAACCGAUGAACCCGAGGACUAGAGUAAACUGCAGUUAAACUGCAAAUCAUCAGCCGAUUAAGUCGUAUUUUAACAUUUUCUAAACUGGAAAGAAGAAAAUUUCACUUCAAGGCCCUUGAGCUUUUGUCACACUUCUUCUCUGCACUCAAUGAAAUAAAACACAACAUAAAAAUAUAAGCACCAUUUCUUUUAUUACUUUUUCUACUAAAAUAAGUGUUUUUUUCCUCUUAAAAAACCUAAGAUGGGGAGAGGAUUUUAAAAUUCAAAACCUUCGAAAUAGAUGAGUUUGAGGUUGUUAAUAUUAUUUUAUAUUGUUGAAUAGUAAAUUAAUUGUAUUGGUGGUUUAACCUAUUGGAUCGAGAAUUAAUGAUUUGAUUGAUUUGAGUUUGGGCUGCUCACAAUCUUGACUGCAUUUAUCAUUUAAUUCUUUUUUUAAUUAGCCAAACUCAUGUUAACAAUGGUAUAACAGUAAUUAAUGACUUCAUGGACAGAACAUCAAUAUAUAAAUACACAAACAAAUAUAAUGGGAAUUGGAGAACUCCCAUUUAUACAAACAAAUAUAAGUGGGCAAAUUCAAUACUCAUAAUAAAUACACAAAGAUGACUAAAACCAUUAUUAAACCAGAUCCAGUAUGCAGCAUACAAGAAAAAGGGGGUAUUUCAAGGAGUAGAACGAGAAGGUGGUGGAGAAAAGGAAGGAAUAGAGGGGACUGCAGUUGGGAUUGAGGGAAUGCUUGGCAGAGGCGGCAGUCCUCUUGGCAAUGUGGUAGGAAGUGGAGGAAGCGCCCCAGGGUUUGGGAGAUUAGGGAUAGAUGGCAAUGGCGGAAAAGAGAAAGGAAUAGGGGGAAUUGCAGUUGGGAUUGUGGGGACUGAGGGAAUGCUUGGCAGAGGGGGCAGUCCUGUUGGGAAUGUGGUAGGAAGUGGAGGAAGCGCCCCAGGCCAUGAGAAUGAUGGUCGGGAUGGCGUUGGGAGAUUAGGGAAAGAUGGUAAACUUUGCGUUCGAGGCUGCUGCAGAAGGUGACGAGCUGCUACCCCAACAUCAAUGCUUGCAAAUGACAAAGCAAUCAAGAAUGCUAAAGCAAAGCAAUUGAAAGAGGCCAUUUUUGUUCAAAGAUUUCGAAACAAAUGAAGCAGAUGAAACGAAGUUCUUUAUCUGAAUAGUUGUGAGUGAGGAAAACAAAGCAUGGUAUUGAGGUUUAUAUAGGCAUUGGAGUAGUGAAUAGAAAUCCCCUGCCCCUAAACAAUGCCCCAUGCAUGCCCCCAAACCAAAAUAGCGCCACAUGUUUUUUAUUUUUUCCAUUUUAAUUGUAGUUCAUUUUUAAAAUAAAAAAUUUAUAGUGAUUUGAAUUAAUUUUUAACUUAUUAUCAACGUUUUUAUUUUUGUUUUAUUUUUAUUUUACAUUAAUUUUACCUAUUCUUUAAUUAACAAAUUUAUAAUGACUUAGAGUUUAUCUAAUAGAGUUUUUUUUUUAUAAUCGGUCUUAUGAUAAAAUUUUAUAAGGUGGGAACAAGUCCCACAGUGACAACAUGAUCCUUCAAUUUUUGGUGGUGGCAUGCCUUUAGUCAAAGGAUCAGCCAACAUCUGCUCAAUGCUAAUGUGCUCAAUGACCAAUUUCUUGUCUUUAACAUGUUUCCUUAUGCCUAGGUACUUAAAGUCGAUAUGUUUACUUCAACUUCCACUUUUUUCGUUCUUAGCCAUAAAGACAGCAGUUGAAUUGUCACAAUAUAUGAAAUAAUCAAAACCCAUAAUGACUCAGCCUAAAAAUCUCGAGCUUCAAACCCAAAUUAAAUUAAAUCAAAACCAUAAUUUAUUAUGUACAAUUGCACAAAAUUAACAUAAUUUAAGUGUGUCAUAGUGCGCGUUAAAUUAAAGUUUACGUUUGACAUUAUAGAUAAUAUUCACGUGUAAAAUUUUGAGAUUUAUUCCCUUAAUUAAUGUAAUAUGUCAAAUAGAAUACUUGAACAAUCCUCCAUGUUGGCAAAGUUUAUGUUAAGUAGUAGAAGCGAACUAAAUAAUGAGAAUAAAUCUAAAGUAUGGCAUACAUAUAAUUUAUUCACAAUGUGACUUAAACUUUGUCCUUCAAGAUUUCACGGUCUCAAUUUAUGUCUUAAAUUUUUAAGAUCAUUUUAGGUUUGUUAAACUGCAGUUAAACUGCAAAUCAUCAGCCGAUUAAGUCGUAUUUUAACAUUUUCUAAACUGGAAAAAAGAAAAUUUCACUUCAAGGCCCUUGAGCUUUUGUCACACUUCUUCUCUGCACUCAAUGAAAUAAAACACAACAUAAAAAUAUAAGCACCAUUUCUUUUAUUACUUUUUCUACUAAAAUAAGUGUUUUUUUCCUCGUAAAAAACCUAAGAUGGGGAGAGGAUUUUAAAAUUCAAAACCUUCGAAAUAGAUGAGUUUGAGGUUGUUAAUAUUAUUUUAUAUUGUUGAAUAGUAAAUUAAUUGUAUUGGUGGUUUAACCUAUUGGAUCGAGAAUUAAUGAUUUGAUUGAUUUGAGUUUGGGCUGCUCACUAUCUUGACUGCAUUUAUCAUUUAAUUCUUUUUUUAAUUAGCCAAACUCAUGUUAACAAUGGUAUAACAGUAAUUAAUGACUUCAUGGACUGAACAUCAAUAUAUAAAUACACAAACGUAGUGGCCCAAUAUUGCCCGGCCCGAUAAUAAAAAAUGAUAAAAUAAAUAAAGGUCCAAUGUCCAGCUUUUACAAACCCAAAAUCAAUACUGCCCAAUUAGCCUAAACCCAAUUAGGUUUAACCCAAACUCUAGCCUAGCCCAAAACCCAACUUAGCCCAAGACUCUCCCCAAACCCCGAAAACCCUAGCAGCAACGGGAGCCUCCUUCCAACGCGCAACCAUCAGGUGGCCUUCUCCACGCACACGCUGCCACGUACAUCUCCUUACGGCCACCUCCGUACCUCCAGGCUGGCCGAAUACCUGCAAAAAAAAAUGCACGGAAACAGCAGCAAAUAGAAAAACAACAGCAUAGGGGUGAAUUUUUAAUUAUUUUUUCAUUUUAUUUUCUGUAAAUCGGGCUAUAAGAAAGCGAUUCGAAUACUGUAACAGAUUUACGCAUUCAAUAUACAAAGAAAUUGAGAAUACAAAAGAAUCAAAAAAGCAGAGAAAGGUGAUUUUCUGGGUUUUUUAAUCCUUUCUAUCUUGUUGGUUACUUGAUUCUUUUUUUUUACUUUUUUAAAUUGUACGUUCAUCAAUCGUUGUUUAAAAAAGAAAUAGGAAAAAGAAAGGGAGGGAAACGUACCUGGUAGCGCGAUCCUGGCUCUCUCCGGCGUCAUCGGAGCAGGGGCUGGGAUCAAUGACUGCUCGAGUACCUUCAAUACCCAGAGCGGCGCUGAGUUUUUUUUUUUAGUUUAGGUUUUUCUUUUAAUUUAAUGAUAGGUUUUUAGGGUUUAUUUAGUUUUAAGCGAAGGAAUUAAAACGUCGACGUUAAAAGUCGAUGCAAUGACUUUGAAACGGCAUCGUUUUAGGGACCAGAUCCGAACGGUGACCCGAUCCAGGAAGGAUCCGUGCAUUAUGGAUCAUUUGGUCUAUUUGUUCAAUAGAUCCCUCUAUGUUUAAUGGAAUUGCGAUUUGAUUUCUUUUAAUUUUUUGUAAUUCGUACUGCAUAUUUUGUUCUAUUUUCAUUUAGAUCCAGAUUGAAACGGUAUCGUUUACUGCGUUUGACUUUGAUUAUUCUAAGCUUUUGGGUUUAAUUGCCGAUUCAGUCCUCCAAUUUUGAAAUAAAUUUUAAUUUAACAUGAGUUUAGCCUUUUUAAAAAAAAAAGAAAUCAAUAUCAUUUUUUAAUUAUAAUUAAUCCUAUUUUGGUACAUUAUAAAAUCUAACAUUAUUUGUAAUAUUUGAUUUUGAUGUUUUUAAAUCUACAUUUAUUAUAACCUAAGAUAUAAUAGAUCAUUGUUUUAGUUUAUAUCCUAUACUUUAAAUUUAUUAUAUAAUAAUAUUUUGUAUCUACCAUAUUUAUUUAAUUUUGUCUUUUCCUUUUGGUUCCAUUUUAAGUCCCGAUUUUAAAUUUAUUAAUAUUUUCAUUAUAAUUGUUGUUAUUACGCUUCUAAAUUGUUUUAUUAUAUUUCAUUUUGUCUUCAAAAAGUGUUUUUUAAAACAAAUUAAUUCUUAAUUUUAAUUCAUUUUCUAACAUUAUUUUGGUAUUUAGUAUGAUAUUAUUUUCAAAUUUAUUAUUAGUACAUUUUUUUAAAAUAAUACAUUAUUUUUUAAAUUAUUAUCAAUAUGUUUUAAUUUUAUCAAUAUUAUUUUAAAAAUAUAUAUGAUUUAUAUGAAAUUAUUCUAGUAUAUAUGUAUAUAGAUUACAUCAUUAACUUUAGAUUAACCUCUUUUACAUAAUUUUUUUAAAAUGUUUUAUUCCUUAAACCUUAUUUAUUUUAUUCAUUUUAUAGGUUGUUAAAUUAUUAAUAUGGAUGUUUGUAUGACAUGAUUAAGAUCAAUGUUUAUAUUUGCCUAUUAUUUGUUUAAUUGCUUCUAGUUUAAGUUUAAGUUGUUAUUUAUCUUUUAUAUAUCGUUAUUCAAUCAUGUUUCAUUUGUAAGAGUUGAAUUUUAUUAAAGCAUCAUAAUUCCUAAAAAAGCUUGGUGUUUAAUAGUUCUCGAGAGAAUUGUACCCUAACUUACUGGGCUUCAAUUCUUCUCGAUGAAUUUAUAUCAUCAAGUAUCCAUUUUAUACAAUUUUAAAAUAAAAUUCUUUAGAUUUCAAAAUGUGGGAUCCUAACUUACUGGAUACGACAUUUUGUUAUCUCGAUUUUAAAAUAAAGGCAAUAUUUGAUGUUUAAAAAUUUCAAGAAAUCGAACCCUAACUUACUGGAUUCUGAUUUCUCGAUUGACUUAAAUAGUCAAAUAUCCUUCUUAAAACAUGUUUAAAUUUUUUUAAAAAGGGACGAACUUAACUUCGAAGAUUGAACUGUUUCACUUUAACUCACUGAGUGUGGCGAUUUGUUUCUUUGACAUGGGUCCGUCCACUUAACCAAUUUAAUUAUUUAAGCUUUCAUUUCAUGGGAUCGUAUUUAAAAAUCUUUUCAAGUUUUGACACUAAGACAUUAAAUAACCAAUUCGGUACCAAUUUUGGGCGUUACGAGGGUGCUAACCCUUCCUCGUGCGUAACCGACUUUCGAACUUAUCUUCUCAAAAUUCGCAGACCAAAAAAAUUGUUUUCAAGGUGAUCCGAUCUCACCUCAACAAAAAUUGGUGGCGACUCCAAUUUUCAUUUUUUAAAGUCGACUACUAAUAAAUUUUUGUUUUCAAAAAAUGGUUUCGACAGCUUGGUGACUCCACUGGGGACUAUAAGAGAGUCAAGUUGAAAAAUUUAUUGUUUCCUAUCUUAUCGUCGAAAAUUAAAAAUUUGAUUUGAAAAAUUAUGAUCCUUUCUUUGCAUUUGUUUGUAUGAUUACUGUUUUAUACCUUGGCAUCAUAUUGCAUAAAGACUGUUUAGUCUUACCCUUUAAGUGGGAGUGAGAAGCUAUUCCUUCUUGAGGUUUUCACCUCCGUGCAGGAUAGUGAAUCACUUUCGCGAUACAUCCGUACCUAUGUCUUCGUGAUAUUUUCAUCUCCGUGCAGCCAUAGGGAAAUGUAUUCCCCCGAACCGAACUCGGUCUGUAUGAGCCUAUAAUGGGUGAAGAUCGAGGAAUCUGUUGGUUCGGGCACCUCAACUUUAGAACCAAACCCCAUAUAGUGGACUUAGAAGCUCAACCUAGUUAGAACUAUUCCAAUCUCUCGUGAUUGCCCAGAUAGAUGAUUGUGUUUCUUAUACUUGCUUUGAAUUUUUAUUUUUGUGUUGUACUGACUUGUUUAUGUUUUGUUGAUAUUGUUGCAUGUCACUGCAUAGUUCAAAGAGUGUCGAUUCAAGUUCAGUUACUAAAUUAGAAAACCGUCAUGGCAAACGAAUUUCUGGAUAAAGUGGAGGAUAACGCCAUUGUCUGUAUAUGGUCAGAGAAGGUGCAAUUGGAGAAAGGAGACAAUUUAUCUAAGGGAUAUGUGUCAGAGCUUUGGGACUACACUCGUAUUAGUGUGACACAAAAUAGCCUUCAGGAGUUAAAUGAGAUUUGGGAUCAGUGGAAUGAUGAAACCAAGUAGAUGUUCUACUCUAAUUAUGGGGACUUGCCGUACUUACUUAAAAUCAAGGUGGAUGAAAGACUAUUUCGCGCUCUCGCUCAAAAUUGGAAUCUUGCAUAUAGCUAUUUUACUUAUGGGAACGUAGAUUUGGUGCCCACAGUGGAGGAAUAUACAGCUUUACUACACUGCCCUAGGCUUCAGGUUGAUAAAGCAUAUUCUAGAGCCACAUAUGUCCCAGCGUUUUGGAAGAAAUUAAUGAGUAUUACCGGAAUGAGCAAACAAUGGAUCACGGCCAGGAUCAAACAGAAGGGCGAGUGUAAAUGUAUCCCAUAGAGGAAUUUGCGAGACUUGAUCCUAGCACAUCCUGACGGAAAAAAGAAGGUUGAUGUGUUUGCUUUGAGUAUCUACGGGUUAGUGAUUUUCCCUAGAGCAUUGGGCCAUGUUGACGAAGCGGUUUCAGAUCUUUUUGAUCGGUUGGGUAAAGGGGUCACGUCUGUUCUUGCGAUUUUGGCUGAAACGUUUAGAUCUUUGAAUACGUGUAGGCAAGCUGGUGAAGGUAGAUUUAUAGGUUGUGCACAAUUGUUGAUAGCUUGGUUCCAUAGUCAUUUCUAGAAGGUCGACAAAGUUUCGUAUCGGGUUUUCUCUAGGCAUUACUCCCUGUUAAAAGAGAUAGUGGCUACGCCAAGAAAGGACGAUAUUUCAGAAGAAAAUUGGAUAGCAAUUCUGCAAAAUCUUCAAGAGGAUGAUGUGGAGUGGAGAGCUCCUUGGUUGAUUCCUGAUGGAAUUCUCUACCGUUGUGGAAGCUUUGACUAGGUUCCGUUGCUUGGGAUUUGGGGAGCCGUUGGGUAUGCACCUUUGCUGGUCCUAAGGCAAUACAAUUCAAGACAGUUUGUGCCGGCAACGUAUGGUUUAGCUCAAUAUGAGUUCUCGUACCGAGGAGACAAUUACAAGAAAAAGGUGAAAGAAAUUUCUCAGGCUUGGAAUGAGGUUCACAGGAUGAAAAGGCUAGCUGUGGGUUUGAUGACAACUCCAGAGUACGAUGAGUGGCGACGUAAAAGAAUUAAUGAUAACAUUCUGGAGUUAAACUUGGAGGGUGUUCGACCAAUGGAAGAGUACCUACAAGUGAUCCCAUCAGAGUUGGAGAUUUUAAAACAAGAUUUUGAAAAGAGGAAUUUAGAACUUGAAAAGAAAAUAGAGCGGUUGGAAGAAGAGAAGAUUCAUUUGAGGCUAGACAUUAACGUCUAAAAGUUAGAAGCUGAAAAAUUAAAGAAGGGGAAGAAUAAAGUAGAGGAGGAUCUGGAUAGCUUAAAGACGGACUACAAAAGGCUACGAGUAUCAAUGAGAACUGCUGGGUUGGGAAAGACUUCAGAGCAGUGGCGACAGGAGAUCCAAGAAGAAAGAAACAUAGUCGAUCGGUGGGAAAGAAAGUCCUAGGAGGCUCAAGUUCAGAAAGAGACCUUAGAACGACAGGUGUUAGAAACUCAAAACUAUCAAGCGGACUUAAAAGCUAGAAUAGCGGAACUCAAGAGAUCACUUGCUGCGUAUAGAAGUCGUAAUUCUGUAGUGGAAUUAAAGACAAGUCUAUGCAAGAUUGAAGAAAUGAAAAAUAGGAUAGAAGAAUUGGAGUACACAUUACAAGGCUGUAGACAACGGAUCGAAUCCUUGGAAGGAAAUGAAGAGCGUUGGAGGGAGCAACUUUAUCAUUCGCAAAAUCAAAUUCAGAACAGAGGUUACAUUAUGGGCAGGGCUAUUGCUCAGAUUUGGGAGGUAGCUGAUCAUUUGCAAACAAUGGCAAUUCAGGCUGACGUGUUAAGCGUAAAGUAUGAACUGGAAUCAGAUCGAGGGCAGGAGUUAGCUUCGCUAUUGAAGGAAGCUUCGCUAUUGAAGGAAGUUAAAGCUUUGAGUAUUAGGGCAAAGCCAUACUUGUAAUUCAUUUUAUGUAAAGAAUUUUGUUUAUCAAUAAAGUUUUCUAAAGGAAAUUGGAUCAGAAUCGACGCUCUUUUUGCAUUCAUUUCAUGCAUUUGCAUUACAUGACAUCAUAUGCAUUCAAGACUAUUAAGAAGAGGUUUUAAUUGGUUAAAAUUGUGCUUCAGUUAAUUUGGAAACCAGCAAAAAUUCAUCAACCAAGCACCACUACGGUACCCGUGCGAAAUCAAAAAUUAUGGAUCAAAGAUUGGAAAAGCUUGAGCGCUUUCAAAAGGAAAUGCAAGAUCAAAUGAAAGAACAAAUGGAAAAGAUUCAACAUGACAUGAUACAAAAGAUGCAGGAGUCUCAAAAUGACAUGAUGACUAAGUUGACGCAAUUAAUAACCAGAGGAGUAGAUAAAGGGAAAGGUCCUGUGAUUUGUAAUGAAGAAGGAAACAAUGAUGAACCACUUCUUCCUCCAGGUUUUACGCCUCCGCACGCGCAAGUUCAGACUGAACCGCAUCCGCGGAGACCUUCUGUUUCGAGUAGGCCUCAGCAUUUUCAAGGGGAUGUUUCAAUACCGAAGAACUUUCAGGUCGGAUCUGGCUCUAAUCCUGGUGAUAAUUUGAAUAAUAUUGCUGUCCCGUAUUUCGAUGAAGUAGCUGAGAAGGAUAAGGUGAAAGAAGAGUUUCCAAAGCAGUUUGAGGAGAAAUAGAAAUGGAUUGAAGAGAAAUUUAGAGUGAUGGAAAGCAUUGAAAGCUAUCGUGGAAUAGAUGAAAAAGAUCUGAGUCUGGUUCCGAAUUUGGUACUUUCUUACAAGUUUAAGAUGUCAGAAUUUGAGAAAUACAGUAGGACCAGUUGCCCUGAGGCCCAUAUCACCAUGUUCUGUAGGAGAAUGACGGGGUAUAUUAAUAAUUACCAAUUAUUAAUACAUUGAUUUCAGAAUAGUCUUAUAGGGGCGGCGUCAAAAUGGUACAAUCAGCUGAGUCGAACCAAAAUCGCUACUUGGAGGGAUUUGGCAUAGGCUUUCAUGAGACAGUACAAUCAUGUAUCAGAAAUGACACCUAACCGAAUAACUUUGCAGAAUUUAGAGAAAAAAUCAAACGAAAGCUUCAGACAGUAUGCGCAGCGAUGGAGGGAAAUUGCAAUUCAGGUUCAGCCACCACUUGUGGAAAAGAGAAUGACAAUGCUUUUUAUCAAUACAUUGAAAGCCCCGUUCAUUACUCACAUGUUGGGAAGUGCUUCAAAGAACUUCUCGGAUAUAAUCAUGAACGGUGAAAUGAUUGAGAAUGCUAUUAAGAGUGGAAGAAUAGAUGGAGGGGAUAAUAAUAGAAGGACAGCCCCAAAGAAAAGAGAAAAUGAAGUGAGCAAUGUGAGCUGAUACGGUAGGUCAAUUACGGUGAAUCAACCAGGAAAGGUGGUUACUAAUCAAUAAAGCUCAUCAAGACAAGAAGUAGGAGGGAGGCAAAACACUAAAAAACCCCAGUUUACGCCAAUUCCGAUGUCAUACAAGGAGUUAUAUCAGAAUUUAUUUAAUGCAUAUGUUGUUUCCCCUCAUUACUUGACCCCUUUACAACCCCCUUAUCCCAAAUGGUACGAUAUAAAUGCACAAUGUGACUAUCAUGCGGGAAUCUCGGGGCAUUCAAUAGAGAAUUGCACGGCUUUCAAGAAGGUAGUGGAAAAACUCAUCAGGAUGGGUGUUGUCAAAUUUGAUGACUCACUUAACGCAAAAAAUCUGUUACCUAAUCAUGCUGAUAAGGGAGUAAAUAUGAUGGGCGAAAGUAUGGGAGAAAAAUUCAAGAAUGACAUCGGUGAAGUAAAAACUCCAUUGAAACAGGUCUGGAAAGAGAUGGUGAAAAGAGGGCUAGGCAUUUCAGAUUUUGGGGAAGAGGAUGAGGCUGAAAAAUAUUGUGAAUUCCACCGUGAAGUAGGACAUGAGAUUCAAGAAUGUGAAGAAUUUAAAGCUCUGGUCCAAAGCAUGAUGGAUAACAAGGAAAUAAAGUUCUAUGAGGAAACAGAGGAAGAAAGAAGCAUAUGCGCGUCGGAAUCAACAACGAAGAUUUCAAAAAUAAAUCAUCCUGUGGUCAUUAUUUCGCACCCUAAGAACAGUGAGGCUAGGGUCCAGGUAACGCCAAAAAUUGUAAUACAUAAGCUGUCAAAUUUCUCAUAUAAAGAUAGUAAAAUGGUUCCGUGGAAGUACGGAUGCAAUGUGACAAUCUCAACGUUUUUAUUUAUUUUAUUUUUAUUUUACAUUAAUUUUACCUAUGCUUUAAUUAAAAAAAUUAUAAUGACUUAGAGUUUAUUUAAUAGAGUUUUUUUUUAUAAUCGGUCUUAUAAUAAGAUUUUAUAAGGUGGGACCAAGUCCCACAGUGACAACAUGAUCCUUCAAUUUUUUGUGGUGGCAUGCCUUUAGUCAAAGGAUCAGCUAACAUCUGCUCAAUGCUAAUGUGCUCAAUGACCAAUUUCUUUUCUUUAACAUGUUCCCUUAUGCCUAGGUACUUAAAGUCAAUAUGUUUACUUCGACUUCCACUUCUUUCGUUCUUAGCCAUAAAGACAGCAGUUGAAUUGUCACAAUAUAUGAAAUAAUCAAAACCCAUAAUGACUCAGCCCAAAAAUCUCGAACUUCAAACCCAAAUUAAAUUAAAUCAAAACCAUAAUUUAUUAUGUACAAUUGCACAAAAUUAACAUAAUUUAAGUGUGUCAUAGUGCACAUUAAAUUAAAGUUUACGUUUGACAUUAUAGAUAAUAUUCACGUGUAAAAUUUUGAGAUUUAUUCCCUUAAUUAAUGUAAUAUGUUAAAUAGAAUACUUGAACAAUCCUCCAUGUUGGCAAAGUUUAUGUACAGUAGUAGAAGCGAACUAAAUAAUUAGAAUAAAUCUAAGGUAUGGCUUACAUAUAUUUUAUUCACAAUGUGACUUAAACUUUGUCCUUCAAGAUUUCACGGUCUCAAUUUAUGUCUUAAAAUUUUAAGAUCAUUUUAGGUUUGUUAAAAAAUUAAAAGUUUAGAAAGUUAGAAUUGUUGCUUGAGGCGUGAAUAUCCCUAUUCUUUAGGAUAUUUGCGGAUUUACCAUCUCUCAGGAUUUCGUUUGUAUCAUGCACAAUGAAAAAAUUGAAAAAAAAAAUUCCCAUUUGAAUGGAAUUGAGCUAUUAGGCUCAAGCCUCGUGUGCGCAUAUAUAUUCUCUUAUUUUGAGUCUUACAAGUUUAUAGUAAACCAAAUCUAUAUAAACAUCAUUUCAUUAGGUCAAUCUAAAAUAUGUUUAAUAUGUGUAAUUCUUUAAAAUAGAUGAAAACUUCAAAUAUGGUUUAGGUCAUUUUUAGAUUUCUCUUAUUUUAGGUUCAAAUCAUUCGAAUUUGAGGCUAAUUUUUUCAUGUGUAAUCAUUAUUGAUCCGAAUCAUUUUAGAUUUUGAUCAUUUUAAGUUCCAAUUAUUUUGUGAUCAAAUCAUUUCAAGUUUAGAUAAAUUUGGGUCGAUUUGAAUUUGACUUAAUUACGUAGUUAACUUUUUUUUUUAUAAUAAAUUGAGCUGAAUGAAAGUUAGAUUGGAAUUUAUUUAGUGUGCCUUUGUGUUUAAGUCAAAAUUUAAACAUCUCCCUUCGAAAUAAACAUGUUAAGACAAUUUUAUUUUAAAGACAAUAAUACAACAUAGUUGAUUUGGGAGAUAAACAUGUUAAUUUUUUAAUCCCAACCAAAAUUGUACAUAAUUCUUUUAUGUCAUAUUAAAUACAUGUAACGUCUUAUAAAAAUUGUCAAUAAAUUAUGCCUAGCGACAACGUUAUUCAACUCUUUUCAUUGUUAAUACCUAUUUCUAUUUUUCUUCUAAUGUCUUCAGCUUUAAAUAUAAAGGGAUUGAAAUUUUAAGAAUUGAGAUUUCUUUUCUCUGUAUUAGUGGACGUUUGAUUUUUUGUUUGAUUGUUUUUUUUACUGGAAUUGACACAUAUCUUUUCAGAUUUAUCAAUAUUUUUUAAAUUUAUUUAAGAUAUGUAUAUAAAUAUAUUACAAACGUAAUGGCCUAAUAUUGCCCGGCCCGAUAAUAAAAAAUGAUAAAAUAAAUAAAGGUCCAAUGUCCAGCUUUUACAAACCCAAAAUCAAUACGGCCCAAUUAGCCUAAACCCGAUUAGCUUUAACCCAAACUCUAGCCUAGCCCAAAACCCAACUUAGCCCAAGACUCUCCCGAAACCCCGAAAACCCUAGCAGCAACAGGAGCCUCCUUCCAGAGCCGCAACCAUCAGCUGGCCUUCUCCACGCACACGCUGCCACGCACAUCUCCAGACGGCCACCUCCGUACCUCCAGGUUGGCCGAAUACCUGCAAAAAAAAACGCACGGAAACAACAGCAAAUAGAAAAACAAUAGCAUAGGGGUGAAUUUUUAAUUAUUUUUUCAUUUUAUUUUCUGUAAAAGGGCUAUAAGAAAGGCAUUCGAAUACUGUAACGGGAUUUACGCAUUGAAUAUAUAAAGAGAUUGAGAAUACAAAAGAAUCAAAAAAGCAGAAAAAGGUGAUUUUCUGGGUUUUUUAUUCCUUUCUAUCUUGUUGGUUACUUGAUUCUUUUUUUUACUUUUUUAAUUUGUACGUUCAUCAAUCGUUGUUUAAAAAAAAUAGGAAAAAGAAAGGGAGGGAAACGAUCCUGGCUCUCUCCGGCGUCAUCGGAGUAGGGGCUGGGAUCAAUUACUGCUCGAGUACCUUCAAUACCCAAAGCGGCGCUGAGUUUUUUUUUUUCGUUUAGGUUUUUGUUUUAAUGUAAAGAUAAGUUUUUAGGGUUUAUUUAGUUUUAAGCGAAGGAAUUAAAAAUUCAACGUUUAAAGUCGAUGCAAUGACUUUGAAACAACGUCGUUUUAGGGACCAGAUCCAAACGGUGACCCGAUCCGGGAAGGAUGCAUGCAUUAUGGAUCAUUUGGUCUAUUUGUUCAAUAGAUCCCUCUAUGUUUAAUGGAAUUGCGAUUUGAUUUCUUUUAAUUGUUUGUAAUUCGUACUGCAUAUUUUGUUCUGUUUUCAUUUAGAUCCAGAUUGAAAUGGUAUCGUUUACUGCAUUUGACUUUGAUUAUUCUGAGCUUUUGGGUUUAAUUGCCGAUUCAGUCCUCCAAUUUUGAAAUAAAUUUUAAUUUAACAUGAGUUUAGCCUUAAAAAAAAAAAGAAGAAAUCAAUAGCAUUUUUUAAUUAUAAUUAAUCCUAUUUUCGUACAUUAUAAAAUCUAACAUUAUUUGUAAUAUUUGAUUUUGAUGUUUUUAAAUCUACAAUUAUUAUAACCUAAGAUAUAAUAGAUCAUUGUUUUAGUUUAUAUCCUAUACUUUAAAUUUAUUAUAUAAUAAUAUUUUGAAUCUACCAUAUUUAUUUAAUUUUGUCUUUUCCUUUUGGUUCCAUUUUUAGUCCCGAUUUUAAAUUUAUUAAUAUUUUCAUUAUAAUUGUUGUUAUUACUCUUCUAAAUUGUUUUACUAUAUUUAAUUUUGUCUUCAAAAAGUGUUUUUUAAAACAAAUUAAUUCUUAAUUUUAAUUCAUUUUCUAACAUUAUUUUGGUAUUUAGUAUGAUAUUAUUUUCAAUUUUAUUAUUAGUACAUUUUUUAAAAAUAAUACAUUAUUUUUUUAAAUUAUUAUCAAUAUGUUUUAAUUUUAUCAAUAUUAUUUUAAAUAUAUAUAUGAUUUAUAUGAAAUUAUUCUAGUAUAUAUGUAUAUAGAUUACAUCAUUAACUUUAGAUUAACCUUUUUUACAUAAUUUUUUUAAAAUGUUUUAUUCCUUAAACCUUAUUUAUUUUAUUUGUUUUAUAGGUUGUUAAAUUAUUAAUAUGGAUGUUUGUAUGACAUGAGUAAGAUCAAUGUUUAUAUUUUCCUAUUAUUUGUUUAAUUGCUUCUAGUUUAAGUUUAAGUUGUUAUUUAUCUUUUAUAUAUCGUUAUUCAAUCAUGUUUCAUUUGUAAGAGUUGAAUUUUAUUAAAGCAUCAUAAUUCCUAAAAAAGCUUGGUGUUUAAUAGUUCUCGAGAGAAUUGUGCCCUAACUUACUGGGCUUCAAUUCUUCUCGAUGAAUUUAUAUCAUCAAGUAUCCAUUUUAUACAAUUUUAAAAUAAAAUUCUUUAGAUUUCAAAAUGUGGGAUCCUAACUUACUGGAUACGACAUUUUGUUAUCUCGAUUUUAAAAUAAAGGCAAUAUUUGAUGUUUAAGAAUUUCGAGAAAUCGAACCCUAACUUACUAGAUUCUGAUUUCUCGAUUGACUUAAAUAGUCAAAUAUCCUUCUUAAAACAUGUUUAAAAUUUUCUAAAAAGGGACGAACUUAACUUCGAAGAUUGAACUGUUUCACUCUAACUCACUGAGUGUGGCGAUUUGUUUCUUUGAAAUGGGUCCGUCCACUUAACCAAUUCAAUUAUUUAAGCUUUCAUUUCAUGGGAUCGUAUUUAAAAAUCUUUUCAAGUUUCGACACUAAGACAUUAAAUAACCAAUUCGGUACCAAUUUUGAGCGUUACGAGGGUGCUAACCCUUCCUCGUGUGUAACCGACUUCCGAACUUAUCUUCUCAAAAUUCGCAGACAAAAAAAAUUAUUUUCAAGGUGAUCCGAUCACACCUCAACAAAAAUCGGUGGCGACUCCAAUUUUCUUUUUUUAAAGUCGACUACUAAUAAAUUUUUAUUUUCAAAAAAUGGUUUCAACAACAAAUAUAAAAUAAAUGAAACUAAAUACAUUUCAAAUAUAAAAUAUUCGUUAAUAAACUUAACAAAUAAAAAUUUAUCAUUGAAAUAAAUCCAAAAUUAUUAAUAACAAUCCAUCAUUUAAUAUGAAAUUUUAAAGAUUUAGCUCAUUUACUUAAUAAGAGAAGCUGAAAGGUGAACGAAUAUAUUUUUCUUUGAGAAUCAGGUGAACGGUUUUUUCUUAACUAUAUUUUGAAUGUGAAAGUAUAUUCCAUUUUUUAAAAAACUUUACAUUCCGAUGUAGCAUUUUUAAUUAGUCACGUUUCAAUUAAGUUUUUAGCAUAAUAGAAAAUAAUUAAAAGUUUAAUAUUUUUAAUAUUAUUCAUGCGCAGGACGGUGCACUAUGUUCUGGCAGGUGUGACUGGAAUUGAUCGGAAUGAGUUGGUGCAAUUGGUACGGACCGAAAUUUUUACCAGUGUAGAAAAAGGGUGUUGGGUGUUUCACAAUAUUAUUGAAAGCAAACCAAAAAGACCAAGAACCGAUGAACCCGAGAACUAGAGUAAACUGCAGUUAAACUACAAAUCAUCUGUCAAUUAAGUCGUAUUUUCACAUUUUUUUAAACCGGAAAAACAAAAAUUACACUUCAAAUCCCUUGAGCCAUUGUUAUACUUUUUCUCUGCACUCAAUGAAAUAAAACACAACAUAAAAAAAUAAGCACNNNNNNNNNNNNNNNNNNNNNNNNNNNNNNNNNNNNNNNNNNNNNNNNNNNNNNNNNNNNNNNNNNNNNNNNNNNNNNNNNNNNNNNNNNNNNNNNNNNNNNNNNNNNNNNNNNNNNNNNNNNNNNNNNNNNNNNNNNNNNNNNNNNNNNNNNNNNNNNNNNNNNNNNNNNNNNNNNNNNNNNNNNNNNNNNNNNNNNNNNNNNNNNNNNNNNNNNNNNNNNNNNNNNNNNNNNNNNNNNNNNNNNNNNNNNNNNNNNNNNNNNGGAUCUAAUUUUAAAAAUAUUAAUAUUUCGAUAUAAAAUUGAAACAGUGCACACAAAUUAGUAUAACCGAAAUCUGUACGAAACCGACCACCUUAAUUUAAUACAUAAUUUGACAUUCAUAUAAAAUAUUAUCUUGGAAAUAUACUGAAAGAGGAAACUAAUCGUAUGUAAAUGGAUAACUUGGAAGAGAUAAUGCAGCAGGAAUCAUUAUAUUAACAGUUGCAUCUUCUCGAUGUACGGCUGCUCACUAUCUGGACUGCAUUUAUCGUUUGAUUCUUUUCUUAAUUAGCCAAACUCAUGUUAACACUGGUAUAACAGUAAUUAAUUACUUCAUGGACAAAACAUCAAUAUAUAAAUACCCCAUAUAUAAUAAGCAACAACGUAUCAAAAUACACCAAAUAAUGGGAAUUGGAGAACGCCCAUUUAUACAAACAAAUGUAAGUGGGCAAAAUCAAUACUCAUAAUAAAGACACAAAGACGACUAAAAACCUUAUUAAACUAGAUCCAGUAUGCAGCAUAACAGAAAAGGGGGUAUUUCAAGGAGUAGAACGAGAAGGUGGUGGAGAAAAGAAAGCAAUAGAGGGAACUGCAGUUGGGAUUGAGGGAAUGUUUGGCAGAGGCGGCAGUCCUCUUGGCAAUGUGGCUGGAAGUGGAGGAAGCGCCCCAGGGUUUGGGAGAUUAGGGAAAGAUGGCAAUGGUGGAAAAGAGAAAGGAAUAGGGGGAACUGCAGUUGGGAUUGUGGGGACUGAGGGAAUGCUUGGCAGAGGGGGUAGUCCUGUUGGCAAUGUGGUAGGAAGUGGAGGAAGCGGCCCAGGCCAUGAGAAUGAUGGUCGGGAUGGCGUUGGGAGAUUAGGGAAAGAUGGUAAACUUUGCGGUUGAGGCUGCUGCAGAAGGUGACGAGCUGCUACCCCAACAUCAAUGCUUGCAAAUGACAAAGCAAUCAAGAAUGCUAAAGCAAGGCAAUUGAAAGAAGCCAUUUUUGUUCAGAGAUUUCGAAACAAAUGAAGCAGAUGAAACAAAGUUCUUUAUCUGAAUAGUUGUGAGUGAGGAAAGCAACGCAUGGUAUUGAGGUUUAUAUAGGAAUUGGAGCAGUAAAUAGAAAUCCCCUGCCCCUAAACAAUGCCCAAUGCAUGCCCCCAAACCAAAAUAGCGCCACAUGUUUUUUAUUUUUUCCAUUUUAAUUGUAGUUCAUUUUUUAAAUAAAAAAUUUAUAAUGAUUUGGAUGAAUUUUUAACUUAUUAUCAACGUUUUUGUUUUUGUUUUAUUUUCUAUUAAUUUUACGUAUUCUUUAAUUAACAAAUUUAUAAUGACUUGGAAUUAAUUUAACAAUAUUUUUUUUAUAAUCGUUCUUAUAAUAAAAUUUAAAAAGAUGGGAAUGAGUCCCACAAUGACAACAUGAUCCUUAAAUUUUGGGUGGUAGCAUGCCUUUAGUCAAAGGAUCUGAUAACAUCUGCUCAGUGUUAAUGUGCUCAAUGACGACUUUAUUUUCUUUAACAUGUUUCCUUAUGACUAGAUACUUAAAGUCGAUAUGUUUACUUCGACUUUCACUUUUUUCGCUCUUAGCCAUAAAGACAGCAAUUGAAUUGUCACAAUAUAUGAAAUAAUCGAAACCUAUAAUGACUCAGCUCAAAAAACUAGAGCCUCAAACCCAAAUUAAAUUAAAUCAAAAUCAUAAUUUAUUAUAUACAAUUGCAUAAAAUUAACAUAUUUUAAGUGUCAUAGUGCAUGUACAGCCCAAAUUUAGCCCGGGGCCCAAAACCUACCCAAACCCGAGAAACCAAUACAACCCAAAAACAGACUAAAAAACCUAAGCCCAAAAACCAGCCCAAUAAGCCCAAAUCUAACCCUAGCCCAGAAACCCAAAUCAGAGACAAAAAAUAAAAUUUUCAAACCCUAGGUGCGCCGCACCUAGGGUUCUCUGCCCUGUUGGCCACCGCAUGCUAGGACCUGCUGCCACCGCCCUUGUCCCAUCGCCUCUGACGCCUAGCCACUGCCACCGCCGCCUGCAGCACCAACUCCACUAUUCAACCCCUGCAAAAUGAAAACCAAACACGCAAAGCAGAAGCAAAAACAAUGCAAAAUAGUAGAAAAAAAUAGAUAAAAAAUGUAUUGUAAAUUGGCUAUAAAAGCCUGGAUCUCAGCCUUGUAAUCUUUCUUCUUCUUUUUUCACGAACGUUAGAAAAUAAAAACAAAAAAAAAAGUUUCAAGGUGAUUAUCUUUAUUAUUUUAGAUUUCGAUUUUUUUUAUUUUAUUUUCAUUUUAUCUUCUUAUUUUUAUGCACGAAAAUAAAAAAGAAAAGGAGAAAGAAACAUACCUGAAUCGGCCCUUAGAUCCGUCGUUAUCAGCCCUUCGGCGCCGUCGGAUUCGGGUUUAGGGAAGGGCUAAGACCUUUUUUUUUUCUCUCCUUGUUUCCUCAUUCUAAGAUUUUGGUCUUUGAACGCGUUUCAACGCACUGAUCGAGAACGCCCUCUUGCAACGCCGGCCGUCAGCCACGGCGGCGCAAGCGAUGGCCCUGUUGGCCGAAUUUGGAGGGAUCGAGAGAGAGGCUAAGAGCUCUCUUCUUCUUUUUUUCUGAAAAAUGAAGUUGGAAAUGUUUUUUUUUGUUUUUUUACUAUGUAUAUAGGGUAUAAAACGAUGCCGUUUUGGACCUUAACAUCGGUAGCCAAAACGACGUCGUUUUGCCCUGACCCGUGCGGUGACCCGACCCUGGGGGGAGGAUCCGCGUGUUUUCUUAAAAAGGGAUAUUUGAGCGUGCGGUCCCUCCGCUUUUGCAACGCAUUGCAAUUUGCCCCUUUUUCCUUCUUUUCUUUUAUUUCAAUUCAGCCGCAUAAUUUUAUUUUUGUUUCAUUUUAGUCCCACGUAAAGUGAUGCAUUUUGAAGGGCGGGAUAUUUCCUUUUUGGUCCCCCUCCUUUCACGCGCAUCACAAAUUAAUCCUUUGCCUAUUUUAUUUUUGAUUUCUCCCCUGGGAUUUUGUUUUGUUUUCAAUUUAGUCCCGUUAUUAUUAUUAUUUAUUAAACUAAUUAGUUUUAUUAUUAUUAUUAUUAUUAUUAUUAUUAUUAUUAUUAUUAUUAUUGCAUUUAUUAUUAUUACCUACCUUAUUAUUAUUAUUAUUUACCCAUUUAUACCGUUUUUAGAUUUUGUUAUAUAUAUAUAUAUACAUACUUACAUAUAUAUACAUACUUAUAUAUUUUUAAUUUUUAUAUAUGUACGUACUUAUAUUUUUUUAUAUACUUUAUAAUUUAUAUAUACAUAUAUACAUACAUAUUUUUAAUAUAUUUUUAAACAUAUAUAUACAUUAUCAUUAUUUACUUGUUUAUAUAUAUAUAUAUAUUUUAAACUUUGUUGUAUUUAUACACAUAUAUUUUUAUAUUUUUAUAAUUUUUUUUAUUUUCAUUAUUGCUAUUAUUGUUUUAUUCGACAUUUAUUUAUUUAUUUACAUGUCUAUUAUUAUUAUUAUCAUUAUUUUUUUAAUGUUUUAGUUUUUAUUUGUUUAUUACUUGUUAUUGUGUAUACAUGAUUGAUUUUUUUAUAUUUGUAUUCUUAUUUAUUUAUCUUUCUGUUUUUGCCCAUAUUAUUUUUACUUACAUUAUCAUAAUCGUUAUUCCAUUACAUCAAUUUUUACCCAGAUUCGUAAAAAAGAAAAUUUUGAAAAUAAAGGCAAUACUCAGUAUUUGGGAUUUUCGAGAGGAUUGAGCCCUAACGCAUUGGGUUCCAAUUUUCUUCGUUGAAUCUAAAUAAUCGAGAAUGCUCUUUAAUCAAAAAACAUAAAUAAAAAGUUCAUUAUCGAGAAUUCAAUACGUUGUGUCCUAACGCAUUGGAUAUGACACGUUCUUUUCUCGAAAUAAGGAUUUUCUAAAAAAUAAUAAAGGCAAUAUUCAAUGUUUAGAAUUUGAGAAAUUGUGCCUUAACAUAUUGGGUUGCGAUUUUUUCAUCUGACUUAAACAAUUGAAUAUCCUUUUAAAUUUUAUUGCACGAGUUUUUUGGGCAAACUCAUUCUUGAGGAGGUAAAAUAUCAUGCCCUAACUCAUUAGGUGUGACAUUUUCUCUCUCCGAAAUGAGAGGGUCUUAACGGUAAUUUGAUUUAUACAAGUUUUUUUAAUAAAUAAUCGUAUUUUAAAUCUCUUUAAAGUUUCUAAUUCUCGACACUAAGACACUAAAUAAUCAACUACGUACCAAUCUUGGGCGUUACGAGGGUGCUAAUCCUUCCUCGCACGUAAUCGACUCCCGAACCCAUUUUUCUGAAUUUCGUGGACCAAGAUCGUUGUUUUAAUAAACUCAAAUCGUUUAUUAAAAACAACCACUUUUUAAGGUGGCCCAAUCACACCUCAUCAAAAAAGAUUUGUGGCGACUCCCAUUUUCGUUUUCAUUUUCAAAACCCAAGUCGACCCCAUUUUCACAAAAAAAUGGUGUCAACAGUGCACAUUAAAUUAAAGAUUAUGUUUGACAUUAUAGAUUGAAGCAAUAUUCAUGUGUAAAAUUUUGAGAUUUAUUUCCUUAAUUAAAGUAAUAUUUCAAAUAGAAUACUUAAACAAUCCUCCAUGUUGGCAAACUUUAUGUACAUUAGAAACGAACUAAAUAAUUAGAAUAAAUCUAAAGUAUGGCUUACAUUUAGUUUAUUCACAAUGUGACUUAAACUUUGGCCUUCAAGAUUUCACGGUCUCAAAUUAUGUCUUAAAAUUUUAAGAUCAUUUUAGCUUUGAUAAAAAAAAUCAAAAGUUUAGAAAGUUAGGAUUGUUGCUUGAGGCGUGAAUAUCCCUAGUCUUUAGGAUAUUCAUGGAUUUACUAUCUUUCAAGAUUUAAUUUGUAUCAUGCACAAUGAAAAAAUUGAAAAAAAAAUUCCCAUUUGAAUGGAAUUGAGCUAUUAGGCUCAAGCCUCGUGUGCGCAUAUAUAUUCUCUUAUUUUGAGUCUUACAAGUUUAUAAUAAACCAAAUCUAUAUAAACAUCAUUUAAUAAGUGUAUCUAAAAUAUGUUUAAUAUGUGUAAUUCUUUAAAAUACAUGAAAACUUCAAAUAUGGUUUAGGUCAUUUUCAGAUUUGUCUUAUUUUAGGUUCAAAUCAUUCGAAUUUGAGGCUAUGUUUUUCAUGUCUAAUCAUUAUUGAUCCGAAUCAUUUUAAAUUUUGAUCAGUUUAAGUUCCAAUUAUUUUGUGAUCAAAUCAUUUUAAGUUUAGAUAAAUUUGGGUCAAUUCGAAUUUGACUUAAUUACGUAAUUACCUUUUUUUAUAAUAAAUUGAGCUGAAUGAAAUUUAGAUUGGAAUUUAUUUAGUGUGCCUUUGUGUUUAAGUUGAAAUUUAAACAUCUGUAUUGGAAAUACACAUGUUAAUACAAUUUUAUGUUAAAGACAAUAAUACGACAGAGUUGAUUUGGGAGAUAAACAUGUUAAUUUUUUUAAUCCCAACCAAAAUUGUACAUAAUUCUUUUAUGUCAUAUUAAAUACAUGUAUAAAAAUUGUCAAUAAAUUAUGCCUAGCGACAACGUUAUUCAAAUCUAAUUUCAUUGUUAAUACCUAUUUCUAUUUUUCUUCUAUUGUCUUCAACUUUAAAUAUGAAGGAAUUGAAAUUUUAAGAAUUGAGAUUUCUUUUCUUUGUAUUAGUGGACGUUUGAUUUUUUUUACUAGAAUUGAUGCAUAUCUUUUCAGAUUUAUCAAUAUUUUUUAAAAUUAUUUAAGAUAUGUAUAUGAAUAUAUUACAAAUAUAAAAUGCAUGAUACUAAAUACAUUUCAAAUUUAAAAUAUUCAUUAAUAAACUUAAUAAAUAAAAAAUUAUCAUUCAAAUAAAUCCAAAAUUAUUAAUAAUAAUCCAUCAUUUAAUAUGAAAUUUUAAGGAUUUAGCUCAUUUACUUAAUAAAAGAAGCUGAAAGGUGAACGGAUAUUUUUUUAUUUGAUGAUCGGGUGAAUGGUUUUUUCUUAAUUAUAUUUUGAAUGUGAAAGUAUAUUCCAUUUUUUUUUAAAAAUUUACAUUCCGAUGUAGAAUUUUUAAUUAGUCAAAUUUCAAUUAAGUUUUUAGCAUAAUAGUAAAUUAUUAAAAGUUUAAUGUUUUUAAUAUUAUUCAUGCACAGGACGGUGCACUAUGUUCUGGCAGGUGUGACUGGAAUUGAUCGGAAUGAGUUGGUGCAAUUGGUACAGACCAAAAUUUUUAACAGUGUAGAAAAAUGGUGUUGGGUGUUUCGCAAUGUUAUUGAAACCAAACCAAACAGACCAAGAACCGAUGAACCCGAGAACUAGAAUAAACUGCAGUUAAAUUGCAAAUCAUCAGCUGAUUAAGCCGUAUUUUCAAAUUUUCUAGAUUGAAAAAACAAAAUUUCACUUCAAAUCCCUUGAGCUUCUGUUACACUUCUUCUCUUAACUCAAUGAAAUAAAACAAACCAUAAAAAGAAUAAGCACCGUUUCUUUUAUUACUUUUUCUAUUAAAAUAUUUUUUUUCUCGUGAAAAACCUGGGCUUAUAACAUUCAAUCAAAGGAAAAAAAGGACAAAUUAGGAAAGAUGAAAGAUGGGGAGAGGGUUUUAAAAUUUAAAGCCUUCAAAAUAGAUGAGUUUAGGGUUAUUAAUAUUAUUUUAUAUUGUUCAGUAAAAAAUUAAUUGUAUCGGUGGUUGAACGUGUGAGAUCAAGAAUUGAUUAUUUGAUUAAUUUGAUUAUCGAUCUAAUUUUAAAAAUAUUAAUAAUUCGAUACAAAAUUAAUAUAGUGCAGACAAAUUAAUAUAACAGAAAAUUGUACGAAACCGAGCACCUUAAUUUAAUACAUAAUUUGACAUUCAUAUAAAAUAUUAUCUUGGAAAUAUAUUGAAAGAAGAAAGUAAUCGUAUGUAAAUGGAUAACUUGGAAGAGAUGAUGAAGCAGGAAUCAUUAUAUUAAAAGUGGCAUUUUCUCGAUGUACGGCUGCUCACUAUUUUGACUGCAUUUAUCGUUUGAUUCUUUUCUUAAUUAGCCAAACUCAUGUUAACAAUGGUAUAACAGUAAGUAAUUACUUCAUGGACAGAACAUCAAUAUAUAAAUACCCCACAUAUAAUAAGCAACAACGUAUCAAAAUACACCAAAUAAUGGGAAUUGGAGAACGCCCAUUUAUACAAACAUAUAUAAGUGGGCAAAAUCAAUACUCAUAAUAAAGACACAAAGACGACUAAAAACCUUAUUAAACUAGAUCCAGUAUGCAGCAUAACAGAAAAGGGGGUAUUUCAAGGAGUAGAACGAGAAGGUGGUGGAGAAAAGAAAGGAAUAGAGGGAACUGCAGUUGGGAUUGAGGGAAUACUUGGCAGAGGCGGCAGUCCUCUUGGCAAUGUGGUAGGAAGUGGAGGAAGCGCCCCAGGGUUUGGGAGAUUAGGGAAAGAUGGCAAUGGUGGAAAAGAGAAAGGAAUAGGGGGAACUGCAGUUGGGAUUGUGGGGACUGAGGGAAUGCUUGGCAGAGGGGGUAGUCCUGUUGGCAAUGUGGUAGGAAGUGGAGGAAGCGCCCCAGGCCAUGGGAAUGAUUGUCGGGAUGGCGUUGGGAGAUUAGGGAAAGAUGGUAAACUUUGCGGUUGAGGCUGCUGCAGAAGGUGACGAGCUGCUAGCCCAACAUCAAUGCUUGCAAAUGACAAAGCAAUCAAGAAUGCUAAAGCAAGGCAAUUGAAAGAGGCCAUUUUUGUUCAGAGAUUUCGAAACAAAUGAAGCAGAUGAAACAAAGUUCUUUAUCUGAAUAG